UGGUUGAGCAAUACAGAGCUACUAACCGUGAGCGAUUCCUGGACACGAAACUGUGAGAUGCACUUGGCAGUGAGGUUUGCAACAUCUACUAAACUUAGGUGCUUAAGGUGCAGGGAAGACAAGCCUUCAACAAAGCAAAGAUCAGGGAGACCAUUUAGAUCUAAUAAUUCAAGGGAGGUCAGGUGGCCAAUCGACAAGGAUGGGGAGCUUCUGCAGACAUCAAUGGAAAGAUGUUUCAGAUGUGGCAAGCCAUUAAUGAACGAAUCAGCUGCAAGAAUGCAGCCACGGAUGCUGAGAUUGCUAGCAAGGUUCAACGGCAUUAGUUCUGCUCCACGUGCUAGCUCUAAAGAAGGACAAUCCCAACAGUGAAGAAUGGAAAGAGAUGAAGCAACACGUAAGCCCCCCAGUGACUUGAGACACCAACAACCACUUAGAAUCAACAUGUCAAGGUUUGUCAAAUGUUGAAACACCUCUUCUGAUGGAAGUGUAGUUAGUGCCAUAUUAUAUUCCAAUUCUAAAGUUGCCAGUGAAGUGAGGCCUUCAAGGCAAAUAGCUAAAGCUUCAUCUAUAAUAUUGCAUGACGAAAGGGAAAGUUUACAAAGUCCUAAUGGUAGAACCACUUGCAGCUCCAUGGCCCUUCCAUAAGUGAAUCUUAUCCUCUGCUCAUGGCAAAAGAGCCAUGCCUUGAUGAUGUUUUCUUUCAUCCAUACUUUAUCUCCUUCCUCUAGACCACUUUCAAUAAUUUGAAGAUGCUUUGAUAUAUCAUCAUCUAUCAUCAAUGUCAUCAACUGCUUAAGAGAUGAAUAGUCUUUCGACAGUACACUCCUAACACUAGAUCCUGAAUCCACCUCCCACAUCAAUGAAAGUUUAGAUGCCAGGUGGUUUGCCAUCAUUAUAUUUUCCCUAGAGUCAUGUUGUUCGAGCUGAUUUUUGGUGACAAAAGUAAGCAGGGGGAGGCCACAAAUUGACAACUUUGUAAGGCUUGGUGGAAGACAUGGUAAUGUCUUCAGUUUUGGAACGUCCAACAGCAACAGUCUAGAACAAUGCUGAAGGAGCUCUGUAUCUGGUGGUAAGCCUUCUAGCAAACUGCAAUUAUUAAGCUCAAAACGUUCCAAAUUCUUAAAAUAGGAUCGCUCAAGUAACCACCCAGGAUAUGUGUCAGAUUUGUAACCUUUGAUUGUGAGCUUACUCAGUUGGGGUGGCGGUCGCAGACCCUCUAGAACAUCCAAAUGCAGAAUAUUCAUUGCAUCCAUGCCAUUCUCAGAACUCCACUCAAGUGUCAACUCUUUAAGGCGACUUUUCAGAUAUAGCUUCGACGCUAAGGCUUCAUCCUUUCCAAUAACAUUCUCAAGAUUUUGUACAUGUAAACUGCCGCCAAGCUCAUUCAAGUCCUUUAGCUGUCGCAACUCAUAUCCUUGCUUCUUUUGCACAGAAAAGACAUAUAUCUGUUGUAAAGAAGUAAGCUUGCCAAUGUUGGGAAUUUGGUCCUUAUACCCUCGCAGAUACCGUAACUUACUUAAAUUGCAAACUUUGUUAGGCAACCUCUCCACCAUGCCGUUUAGCUGAAGUAGUUGUAAGUGCCAAAGAGCACAUAAUGAUCUAGGCAAUUCAAACACUGAUGUUCUGGUGAGGUCCAAAUACCGAAGGUGCUUCAGCUCACCAACAGAUUUAGGUAACUUGUUGCUGUUGUAAAAUGACAAAGACAAUACGCGUAACUUCUUCAAGUUCCACAGCAUCUGAUCAAAAAUAAUACUUGCAUUAUCCAUUAGUGAAUCGAUGCAGAUAACAGUGCGUAAAUGAUGUAGCUUGUAGAUAAUUUCCUUAUGCUUUUGCAUACUUUCAACACGGACAGAUAGAUAUCGAACAGUGCAUGGUAUCUCUGUCACAUUAUCAUCUUCUAAUCUAAAGCAGUCUUCUCUAGAGAGUGACUCUGCCAAAUCAUGAAGGAUAUCAUGCAUGAUAUAGUAUGAAUAAUGUCUUUUAGAAACCAAUUGGAAGAAAGAUCCAGAGACCAUAUCAUUGAAGUAAUCCAUCCCAGCCUCUUCCAAUGUUCUCCUACUCAAAUUGCAUGAACCAACAAAUCCUUCUGCCACCCAGAGGUGAACCAACUCAUUAGGUUCAUAUCUAUGACCUUUUGGAAACAAGCUGCAAUACAAGAAGCACCUCUGGAGACGUGGAUCUAACUUCUCGUAACUCCACAACAGAGAUGUGAAGGGAUCACUUAAAUCUCCAAGCUUUAGAGCAGCUUUCCAUUCAGCAAUAUCCUUUUUCCUGCACAAUCGGGAACCCAGAACUUUUGCUGCCAAAGGACAUUGCCCAAGCCUUUUAGCAAUCUCCUCUGUAGUGUGUUCCAACUUCGUGUGUAGGAGCUUGUCUUUGAUUUCUGCUCCAGAGAAAGCAUGGUGUUUAAAGAGAGCCAAGAACUCAGUAUCAUCCAAGUUUUUCAAAUGAACGACUUGUUCACAGCAAACAGCGGCCGGAAGUGUCUCACAUCGAGUAGUCACCAAAACCUUGCUCCCCGACUGUUUAGAGACUAAUGGAGCAAGGAGUAGCUCCCACUCUGUCUCAGUAUCAGAUUUUUCAAACCAAACAUCAUCCAAGACAAGCAGGAAUUUAUGUGACUCUUGUAGUAUAUCACGUAAUUUGCACUGGAGAGUAUCGAGAUUAUCAACAUGUGGGCACUCCCCCUUUUUUGCAGACUCCAUGAUCUCCCUUGUGUGACGAUGGACAUCAAGUUUGCGUGAGAUACACACCCACAUCCUGACAUCGAAGCAUUCUUCUAUCCUUUUGUCGUUGUAGACAUACUGUGCUAAGGUGGACUUCCCCAUUCCUCCUACUCCAACAAUGGCCAAACCCGAGUACUUAGCUGAGCUUGCCUGAGCAGUUGUUGUCUUGUCGAGAAGAAAAUCUACUAUAUGAUCACGAUCCCUGUCGCGACCAAAAACCUUGGAAGUGGGAAGUGAUGUGGUUGUGGGAACACUGGUAGGUGCUGCAGCUGGCCACUCGACGGUAUUGCCAUGUGGCAAACCAAGAAGAUCUCGAAGUUGUUGGGCUUCUGUCAGGAUUGCUUUGAGCUCGUUCAUCUUGCUAAGUAGCCUUCUGUUUUGAGGGAGCAAGUUCCGCGCCCUGCUCAGAGCAGCAUGAAAAGGCUUCAUGACAGUAGUUGCAGUGGAGGAGCUUCCAUGCUCUCCUAACAGGAGACUUUUUCCGCUCUUGGCCUUGCCCUCAAGGACAUUGUACUCAUGCUCGUCCAACAAGUCCUCGGCAUCAUAGUAGGCUUCUUUGAGACGCCGGAGCCAUCCCUCCAGUAUGCCCCUGUGGGGGCUCUUCUGGGCCGCUUGAAUCACCAGCUCGAACUGUGGCAGGACAGUGGCUUCUAGUCGUUGGAUCUCACGCACCAUGUCCACACUGAGGUAAGCUGAAGCUUUAGUAAGAAGCUCGUUGACAAUCGGCGAUGCUGUCCACCUUAAGCCGGCGAGGGCCAAGUCGGCCAUGAAAUUGUAUUGGUUUGUGCUUCCUCUUACUUUGUGAGCGAAAUGAACAACAUGAAGAUGUAGGAUGUAUGUAGAAUGGGUGAACGAUGGAAAGCUGUUUUUUUUCUUUUUUUCUCUGCAGAAGGCAAGCAGCUGAUAAAGACCGCUACGGAGUGGAGAAAACCUGGGGUUGGAAAGACGCAUAAAAUUAGUGAAUCUAGAUGGGAAAACGGGGAAAUAGCAGCUAACACAGCAAGCAGUGGAGAUUGUAGAUCUUACACCAAAUAAAAUAAAUCGAGGGCGCAUGGAUCUGGUGUCGACAGGUGGGCGCAGUGGUGGAGUAGACUCUGGAACAAGCACAGCAAGCAGGGAAGCAGCUCCGUCGGGCAGGGAGCGCAGGAAGCCAGGAAUACCGGAUGGUGUUGCUGAUUCCUGGCGAUAGAAGAUCUGUUUUUGUCGUAGAUGAGACUGAUGGUGGUGCUGACUGCUGAGAGUCCACUCGCCUUCCAGCCUUGCUGCUCGCUGGGAAAGGAAGGAGCGUGGAAAGAGUAAUGAAGAUCGUGGAAAGGGGACCUGGAGUGGAUCUCGAUGUGAAGGUAGGAGGCGACCUUUUUCACGAACUGGGCUAGCAAUUCAUCUGGCCCAUAAAACAAACAUCAAGGCAUCGCGGCUACCGGGGCUUUUGUCGGGGAGGCGGGGUACUGCUAACGCGUUGCAGGGGAACAACAUGUACGUACGCGUUAAUGGGCUAAGAAGUUUAGUAGGCCUAAUUUUAUAUGGGCUCUAAUUAAAUCCAGUGGAGUUCAAAGCCGAUGAGUCGGGGGUGUCGCCCGUCGGUGUUUCGUACGUCAGAUAAGUAAAUUUACUGUAUGUAUUCUAAGCUCCGGAGGGUGCACGGAUGGCACAAGAUUUAUAUUGGUUUGGGCAAAACGUUCCUACUUUCAGUCAUCGGUGGCUUACGCUAUUGACACCAUUAAUGAUCAAACUCGUAGUAGGGAUUACAAGCAGUCGAGAGAGGCAGGAGAGGCUCCUAGAUCUCUUAUCAGGUUGGAAGUAGAGCAUAAAAACUACAAGGUGGAGUCCUAGCUAAUAAGUCUUUGGUUGGUGGGGUUUCGGCCCCCCUGGUCCUCGUCGGCGCUCCUCCUCCUGUUUGUCCUUGUGGGUUCAUCUCCAUCUGAAGGUGUCUGGUUGUCUCCAAGAGCUCUCUCCACCGACCUCCUGCCCUGAGGCGACCCUUUCCCUUUUGUAGGCUGGGAGAGGGGUCGGUCAGCGGUGGCUAAUCUAGAAAGGAGUCGUAAGGCAGGGGUAAAACCAGUGUUUUACCCCGGGUGAGGCCACACGUACUCGUGGGGCCCGGGGCUGCCUGGCUGUCGCGUAUUUUUAUCGUGGUGGAUGACAUGAGGGCGGUGAUGGUCCUAGGCUCCAUCAUUCUGGCUACGCCGACCCCUGGCUUCCGUAGCCUGGGCUUGGCGCGGCCCGUCUUGUAAUGCCCUGUGGAAGGUCUAUGCACUCAGGCCUAGUCCGAUAUGCCAUAAGUGCACCGUAGACCGAGAGGCAUGCGAGCCAUUAAUGUGCCACAAUCCGGGGACUCGUAGGUCAUGAGCAUUAUACGACCCGAGGGGCCCGUAGGUCAUGACUGGGAAGCGGACCUGCGCCCACGCUAUGGCUCGGUGCCAGGCGUGAUUAAUGCGGUCAGUCAUUUAUGGUGGGUCAGCCUGAGGCUAGGCGCGGGAUCCACUCGGGUGGCUCCCUUCAAACACACCCAACUUCCCUUGCCAGGCCCUGCCAUGCCUAGCCCCAGGCUCGGUGCCGCAGGGUUUGACUAGGGACGGGUCCUUCCAGGGUUGGCGCACCUACCUCUUCCGACUGACUAACGAGCCCUAGUGAUCAGGAGCUCUUUCCUCAGCGUGCUCACUGACCGGUGGGUCCCAGGGACCGGGGUUCAUUCCCCUGACAAGCUGACUUAGUAUCUUCUAGAUUAAGUACUUGGGGUCCGAACUACAUUCAGAUUCUAGGGGCUAGCUUGAAACUAGGUUCUACAAAGUUAAGUUACAUGGUUCAGAGGAUUGAAUACAAUGAAAGCAAAUGCCUUAAGGGAACGUUGCUAGUCCCAGACCAUGUUCUGGAUGGUCCCUGGCCUCGUGAAGGUCUCGGACCUCCAAAGUUGCCAAAGCUCUAGGAAGAAAGGAAAAGGAAAAGAAAUCCGAUAACCAUAGUUGGAGGUGUAUGAAAGUAGCCUAGAGGGGGGGUGAAUAGGCUACACCUGAAAUUUCUCACCAAAAACUUCGAGAUAAUGUCAAAUUUCAAGUUGCACUGGUGCAAACUGGUUCAGUUGGUAUUAUUCCUAACUGAACAGGUUGAGCCUGCUCAACUUAGAUUAGAUAAAUAGUUACACGAAUAGCAUGAAGUAAUGAGAAAUUCUUUCUUAUAUCUUGCCCUAGAGAAGAUCCACUCGAAUGGGUGUCAAAUCGAUGUGAACCGAGUCCACAAGAUUUACACACAAAUAAAAAAUGACUGACCAACAAUUUAAAGCACUUCUCAAGAACACAAUAAGAACACAUGAUUUAACCCAAGGUUCGGCAAACACCACAAAAGUGUCCUACUCCUCGUUGAGGAGCCCACAAAGGGCCGGGUCUUUUCCAACCCUAAUCCUCCUUAAACCGAUCACCAAGGUCAAGGCAAUCUCUUCUUAACUUAGCUCAACGAGCGGGUGAUACAAACUUCUUGGGUCGUCCACAAAAUUGGAGACUCCCAAGCAACCACUAUGUCACACCCGGAUUUAAGGGACAAAGUCGGGUGCAUCUCAUACAUGUGCCAAAGAAGACAACAUAUAUAGUAGCAGAGUGUAUAGAUAUAAAUGUCACAAUAACAUCAGAGUACUUAUUAUAUAGCGGAAGUCUUACAAAAAUAAAAGAUAAAUAUAAAACGAACUAAAUCCAUCCUUGGCGCCAAUAAGUCAACUGGAAAACGCCACCUAGAUAAGAUCAAACUCCUCGUUGUGUGGCUCCUCCUGAACCACCUAUUCUUCUCCUGUGGGGGGUGAGACAGCAAGGGUGAGCUCACACAUGAUCAUAGCUCAACAAGUUGUGGGGAAACCAGUGUGCAUGAACUCACCAAAGGUGGGAGGUCAUGUGAUGUGUAAGACUGAUCAACAAUAGGGGUUAAAGCUGAGCAUUGCUUUUAAUAAGUUGAUCAAAUUUUAUUAGCACUUACUAAAUGUAAGUGAAUACCAAACCAUAAUAAGAAUAAUAGAACAAAAUUAAUAAAUAAUCCCAUGCAAUGAAAAUGAUAAAUUGAAUUUAAGUUCCAUAAAUUAAUCAUGUGAGAGUCCUGAGCUGCUCAUGACCGUGAGCUCGGCUAGUAUACCAGUUUUACACUCUACAGAGGUUGUACCCUGUACCCACAAGUCAUGUUACUCAUCUGCCAAGGGAGCGCGACUCCCAUACACCUCUACCAAGGAAGCGAGGCAGGGCAACACUACGAGGCCUUUACAAAGUUCCACUAGCUUCCGAAAACCCACUAUAGUUAUGGGAAGAGCACUUGCAAGAAUUCCCCGUCUGACCGCCAUCGCAGCAAAAUCAACCCGAGAAACUCCCUGCGUGCAACUCCCCUACUGCCCUUACCCCUUUCGGGUAAGGUAGUCUUCCACUAGCUUUCCUAAUUAGUUAGCCAAGGGCAUCCCAUUCCACCCUUGUGGUGGCACGUGUUUCUCAAGUUAAGCUCCAUGUUCCAAUUAACAUUAAUGAUCUUGACACCAACAUAAAUAAGAUAACAAAAUAAUUGGAACAUGGAUAUAAUGAAAUGUUAACCCAAAACCAUGUAAAGCAAUAGCAAAACUACCCAAAUGAUUCAGGGAUAACAAGGUAAAGAGAUAAACAGUCUAGGGUGACCUAUCGGGUCCCAUCAAAAUUAAGCCUAUGCAUGGUAAAUGAUUAUAAAGAACAUUAUUGGGUAAAUAAAAGUGGUCAAGGGCACAACUUGCCUUCAAUGAGCUCCUACUCGGCAACUUUAAUCUGCUGGGCACUAGGAUCCUCAGUCACAGGCUCUUCUACUCGCCACAAUACAAACAAGCACAGUAUAAAGGAGAAAUUAACAUCACACCAAACAUGUAAACAAAAUACAUAAUAAAAAACUACACAUUAAAAUAAGAACCUAGGAACAGGAAUCAUUAAUUUUGGAGUUAUGGAUUUUAAAUUAUGAAAUUUCAAAGGUUUUAUAUGCUUGAUAUAUGGUUAAGUGAGAAAUUAAUUUUCUUACUGUUUUCAUGUCAAAACAGAGACUCUAAAUGAUAAACAAUAAUAUUACAAAAUUUUAGAAACUGGAAUGGAGUAAUUUGGACUAAAAAUGAAUUUUCUAUGAAUUUUACAAGUUCUAGCACUUAUUUAUCUAUUAAAAAUCCAUUUAUAAUUUAAUUUCUCUGGUUUUAUAAUAUUCUGGACUGGACCUCAAUUUCUGGUAAUCACAGAAGCUCUGGCGUAAAAGAAACUGAGACACAGGCGACAUACAGGGUGGACCGCGGGUUGAUAACCCAAAACCCCAGGGGCUCUUUAGAAAACCUACCAGUGCAAAAGGGUAUCGUGUGUUCACAGCCGUCCGAUCCCAAACGGGGCGCUAGGAUUAGAUAGUCAAACUGAAACGCCCCAACAUCAUCACUGCCACCUGCGGCAAGAUCGACGCCCCUGAUUUGCUUGCGAUCCCGACACCCGCCCGCCCGCACGAUCCCCGAUCAACACGCUAGAUCCCAAAACGACGAAGGGGGAUCUGGAAUCUGAUCAUGACCACCCGUCCGAGGAUCAACGGUCAACACGAUAUCAGAGUCGGGAUCUAAUCUAACCAUUCGAUGCGAAGUUAAUGGCCCCCGAGCUAUCUUCUUCCCUAGGCCCCCAUGCACGGCGGCGCGACACGGCCCGUGGAGCAAAACUCACCGGCCCGACCUAAAAUCGCACCCUGGCGCGCUACACCUAACGCUGUGUAAGCCUAUGCGACGAAGAGGGGCGCACGCACUCGAAUAUGGACGACUUACCCCGACAGAGGUGGCAUAACGACCUGGCGACGACGCGAUUCAACUUGGCGGCGGCGGUGUAACUUCGGCGAGGAAAUUGGCUAGACCACGCUGGCUCCCCCGGUUCAUUACGUCGCGACACCAAUCUCUGGAUCCAGGCGGAUCCCUCUGGCCAACCGAAACGCAUCGAGCGACCCCGAGGCCUGAGCUCCACGACGGCGGCAAAUCCGAUUCCUCCCAGCACCGACACACUCGUAACAAGGCUCUGGCCGUCGAGAAAUUGGGAAGGGGCUGACUGCGGUUCAUGGCGCACCAUAUAAGCGCGAGAUUGGCUGGGUCUGGUAACAGAUUUCGAGAUCAAGGUGCAGCUCCGCCAUUACCGGCGUGGUGGUUGAGUGGGGGAGCCUGACAACCCCGGCCCACACCAUGGUGAGACAUCGCGGCUCCGAGCGCGGAUGGUGAACGACUGAAGGAUAGGGCCCACGCAUCAGUGCCGUUGGAGGGAAUGGGUAGCGGGACCCCGCGGUCAGUCAACCAGGGAGCUGGCGCGCGCCAGUCAAGUUGGGCUGAGCGUGCAUGAGAGGGGAGACGAAAGAUGGGCCGACUUGAUCGCUUUGGGCCCAAUCGAGUUCUUUUCCAUUUUUAUUUUCUUUUCAUUUGAAUCUCUAGUUUGAAUUUGAAUCCUGUUAUGAACUUCACCUUUGAGUCAAAUGUACAAACUCAAAUCUGUAUAAGAAUAAUAUAUAUAUAUAUAUUAUACUUAUUUUUAUUCACCUAGUAAUUUCUCUUCUUCUCUUUUUUUCUACAUUCUUGAAUUUUCCUUUAAACUCCACUUUGGACAUUAACAUAUUUCUUUUUACAUUAUUUUUAUAUUAUGUCACAAAAUGCACACCACAUAAAACCUCAGCAUGAUGCACAAUUUAAUGGCAUGACUUUUAUUAAUCCUUUAUUUUUAAAUGAGGUGUUCACAUGUGAAAAUGAAUAGAGAGUGCACAUGUGAGAGCACCUAGAGGGGGGUGAAUAGGUGAUCCUGUGAAAACUUAAACUUAUAGCCACAAAAACUUGUUAAGUGUUAGCACAAUUAUUGCCAAGUGGCUAGAAAGGAGUCUCAACAAAACACAAUACCACAAGAGAUCAAUCACAGAGAUGACACAGUGGUUUAUCCCGUGGUUCGGCCAAGACCAACGCUUGCCUACUCCACGUUGUGGCGUCCCAACGGACGAGGGUUGCAAUCAACCCCUCUCAAGCGGUCCAAAGACCCACUUGAAUACCAUGGUGUUUUGCUUGCUUUUUCUCAAUCCCGUUUGCGAGGAAUCUCCACAACUUGGAGCCUCUUGCCCUUACAAUUGAAGUUCACUAAGAACAUAGAGCAAAGUGGGAAUGAGCAACGCACACAAGACUUCAAGAGAUCAGAGCAACAACACGCACACAAAUCGCAACAAGAGCUCGCAACACAACUCAAAGAGUUCGCAACUCAACAAGAGCUCUAGAUGCUAUCACAAUAAACGAAAUGCGUGAGAUCGAUGUCUUGGUGCUUAGGACUGUUGUAGGAUUGCUUCGUAUCACCCUCCAUGCGCCUAGGGGACCCUUUUAUAGCCCCAAGGCAGCUAGGAGCCAUUGAGAACAAAUCUGGAAGGCCAUCUUUGCCUUCUGUCGUCGGGCGCACCGGACAGUCCGGUGCACACCGGACACUGUCCGGUGCCCGAUUUCCUUCCUUAAACAACGCGGUCGACCGUUGUAGAUGUGGGAGCCGUUGGCGCACCGGACAUGUCCGGUGCACACCGGACAGUCCGGUGCCCCCUUCCGACCGUUGGCUUGGCCACGUGUCCCGCGCAGAUCGCGCGGCCGACCGUUGGCCCGGCCGACCGUUGGCUCACCGGACAGUCCGGUGCACACCGGACAGUCCGGUGAAUUUUAGCCGUACGCCGUUAGCAAAUUCCCGAGAGCGACCUCUUCGGCCGAGGCAUCCUGGCGCACCGGACACUGUCCGGUGCACCACCGGACAGUCCGGUGCCCCAGACCGAAACAGCCUCUUGGCUGUACACAGCCAAGUCUUCUCUUCUCUUCUUCUUUCUGUUUCUACCACUUAGACAAAUAUAUUAGUAUACAAAACCAAUGUACUAAGACUUAGAAACAUACCUUUGCUCUAGAUUUGCACUUUGUUCAUCCAUGAGCAUUGAUUCACAUUUAAGCACUUGUGUUGACACUCAAUCACCAAAAUACUUAGAAAUGGCCCAAGGGCACAUUUCCCUUUCAAUCUCCCCCUUUUUGGUGAUUUAUGCCAACACAACAUAAAGCAACUAGAACAAGUGCAAAAUUACUUCAAAUAAAACUCAAAUUGAUUUUGAUUCAAUUUUGGCAUAUAUGGAUCAUCCUUUGCCACCACUUGGUUUGUUUUUGCAAAUCAAACUCAAAUCUCUAUCUCUAAGUCAAACGCACAUGUUGAAGCAUAAAGAGAGUCAUUCCAAAAGAGAUUGAUCAAAGAUUUCAAAAACUCCCCCUAUUUCCCAUAAUCAACACUUCUCCCCACAAGAAGCCAACUUUUGACAAGAGAGACAAUAAGAGACAAUAAAAGAGUUUUGACAAAACAAAAACUCUAUUCUACUGUUUUCAAAAUCUCUCAAGUGGUAGCUGAUCCAUUUAUCGCUUUGGCCUUUAUUUUCUCCCCCUUUGGCAUCAAGCACCAAAACGGGAACAAUCUUGGCCCUUUAACUUCAUUGCCUCACCAAAAUUUUCAAUAAGAAUACAAAGGCAAUAAGAGUCUAAAGAUGAACUUGGAAUAAGUUACCCUCUCAUCGGAGUGCAGUGGAAGUCUUUCAUGAUCCAAGUCCACCUUUUCCCUUUCAAUCCUCCUUCGAGACUAAAUCAUCAAACUCAAGCACAUGGUUAGUCUCAAAAGGGUCAAGUUGUAACACAUCUCCCCCUAAACAUGUACAUCACUUUGCAACGGACUUGCGAGGUCCAGGGAGUGUUUGUACAACUUGAGCACCAUAAUAAGCAACAAAAUGCAACAAGGAACAUGAUCAAAAGCAUAAAUACAUGUAUGCUACAAUUCAAUCCAGGUUCCGCGAAUCUAAGACAUUUAGCUCACUACGCAACCUGCAAAAGGUCUUCUCAUCUAGAGGCUUAGUGAAGAUAUCGGCUAGCUGGUUCUCGGUGCUAACAUGAAACACUUCGAUAUCUCCCUUUUGCUGGUGGUCUCUCAAAAAGUGAUGCCGGAUGUCUAUGUGCUUUGUGCGGCUGUGCUCAACAGGAUUCUCCGCCAUGCGGAUAGCACUCUCAUUGUCACAUAGGAGUGGGACUUUGCUCAGAUUGUAGCCAAAGUCCCGGAGGGUUUGCCUCAUCCAAAGUAGUUGCGCGCAACACUGACCUGCGGCAACGUACUCGGCCUCAGCGGUGGAUAGGGCAACAGAGGUUUGUUUCUUAGAGUUCCAUGACACCAGGGACCUUCCUAAGAAUUGGCACAUCCCCGAUGUACUCUUCCUAUCGACCUUACAUCCAGCAUAGUCGGAGUCUGAGUAUCCAACUAAGUCAAAGGUAGACCCCUUUGGAUACCAGAGCCCGAAGCAAGGCGUAGCAACCAAAUAUCUAAGAAUUCGCUUUACCGCCACUAAGUGACACUCCUUAGGAUCGGAUUGAAAUCUAGCACACAUGCAUACGCUAAGCAUAAUAUCCGGUCUACUAGCACAUAAGUAAAGCAAAGAACCUAUCAUUGACCGGUAUGCUUUUUGAUCAACGGACUUACCUCCUUUGUUGAGGUCGGUGUGUCCGUCGGUCCCCAUCGGAGUCUUUGCGGGCUUGGCGUCCUUCAUCCCAAACCGCUUUAGCAGAUCUUGCGUGUACUUCGUUUGGGAGAUGAAGGUGCCGUCCUUGAGUUGCUUCACUUGGAACCCAAGGAAGUAGUUCAACUCGCCCAUCAUCGACAUCUCGAAUUUCUGCGUCAUCACCCUGCUAAACUCUUCACAAGAUUUUUGGUUAGUAGAACCAAAUAUUAUGUCGUCGACAUAAAUUUGGCACACAAACAAAUCACCAUCACAUGUCUUUGUAAAAAGAGUUGGAUCGGCUUUCCCAACCUUGAAAGCAUUAGCAAUUAAAAAGUCUCUAAGGCAUUCAUACCAUGCUCUUGGGGCUUGCUUAAGUCCAUAGAGCGCCUUAGAGAGCUUACACACAUAGUCGGGGUACCGUUCAUCCUCGAAGCCAGGGGGUUGCUCCACGUACACCUCCUCCUUGAUUGGCCCGUUGAGGAAAGCGCUCUUCACAUCCAUUUGGUACAACCUGAAAGAAUGGUGAGCGGCAUAUGCUAGCAAAAUACGAAUUGAUUCUAGCCUAGCCACAGGAGCAAACGUCUCCUCAAAGUCCAAACCUGUGACUUGGGCAUAACCUUUUGCCACAAGUCGAGCCUUGUUCCUCGUCACCACCCCGUGCUCGUCCUGUUUGUUGCAGAAUACCCACUUGGUUGCCACAACAUUUUGCUUCGGACGAGGCACCAGUGUCCAAACUUCAUUGCGCUUGAAGUUGUUGAGCUCCUCCUGCAUGGCCAAUACCCAAUCCGGAUCUAGCAAGGCCUCCUCUACCCUGAAAGGCUCAAUAGAAGAGACAAAGGAGUAAUGCUCACAAAAAUUAACUAAUCGAGAUCGAGUAGUUACUCCCUUGCUAAUAUCACCCAGAAUUUGGUCGACGGGAUGAUCCCUUUGAAUCAUCGCUCGAACUUGGGUUGGAGGUGCCGGUUGCGCAUCUUCCUCCAUCACAUGAUCAUCUUGUGCUCCCCCUUGAUCACACGCCUCCUGUUGAUGAACCUGUUCAUCGUCUUGAGUUAGGGGUAGCACCAUAGUUGAGGAAGAUGGUUGAUCUCGUUCAUCUUGUUCCUGUGGCCGUACUUCUCCAAUCGCCAUGGUUCGUAUAGCGGCUGUCGGAACAUCUUCUUCAUCUACAUCAUCACAAUCAACAACUUGCUCUCUUGGAGAGCCAUUAGUCUCAUCAAAUACAACGUCGCUAGAGACUUCAACCAAACCCGAUGAUUUGUUGAAGACUCUAUACGCCUUUGUAUUUGAGUCAUAACCUAACAAAAAACCUUCUACAGCUUUGGGAGCAAAUUUUGAAUUUCUACCCUUCUUCACUAGAAUGUAGCACUUGCUCCCAAAUACACGAAAGUACGAUACAUUGGGUUUGUUACCGGUUAGAAGCUCAUAUGACGUCUUCUUGAGGAGGCGGUGAAGGUAGACCCUGUUGAUGGCGUGGCAAGCCGUGUUCACGGCUUCCGACCAAAAACGCUCGGGGGUCUUGAACUCUCCAAGCAUAGUCCUCGCCAUGUCGAUUAGCGUCCUGUUCUUCCUCUCUACCACACCAUUUUGCUGUGGUGUGUAGGGAGCGGAGAACUCAUGCUUGAUUCCUUCCUCCUCAAGGAACUCCUCCACUUGAAGGUUCUUGAACUCGGACCCGUUGUCGCUCCUUAUCUUCUUCACCUUGAGCUCAAACUCAUUUUGAGCUCUCCUGAGGAAGCGUUUGAGGGUCCCUUGGGUUUCAGACUUAUCCUGCAAAAAGAACACCCAAGUGAAGCGGGAAAAGUCAUCAACAAUAACUAAACCAUACUUACUCCCUCCUAUGCUCAGAUAGGCGACGGGUCCGAAGAGGUCCAUAUGCAGCAGCUCCAGAGGUCUUGAAGUUGUCAUCACAUUUUUGGUGUGAUGAGGGCCUCCCACCUGUUUCCCUGCUUGACAAGCUGCACAAGGUCUAUCUUUUUCGAAAUGCACGUUAGUCAAACCUAUCACGUGUUCUCCCUUUAGAAGCUUGUGAAGGUUCUUCAUCCCCACAUGUGCUAAGCGGCGAUGCCACAGCCAGCCCAUGCUAGUCUUAGCUAUUAAGCAUGCAUCUAGACCGGCCUCUUCUUUUGCAAAAUCAACUAAAUAAAGUUUGCCGUCUAAUACACCCUUAAAAGCUAGUGAACCAUCACUUCUUCUAAAGACAGACACAUCUACAUUUGUAAAUAGACAGUUAUACCCCAUGUUGCAUAAUUGACUAACAGAUAGCAAAUUAUAUCCCAAGGACUCAACUAAAAACACAUUAGAAAUUGAGUGCUCAUUUGAUAUUGCAAUUUUACCUAAUCCUUUUACCUUGCCUUGAUUCCCAUCACCGAAUAUAAUUGAAUCUUGGGAAUCCUUAUUCUUGACGUAGGAGGUGAACAUCUUCCUCUCCCCCGUCAUAUGAUUUGUGCAUCCGCUAUCAAUAAUCCAGCUUGAACCCCCGGAUGCAUAAACCUGCAAGGCAAAUUUAGGCUUGGGACUUAGGUACCCAACUCUUGUUGGGUCCUACAAGGUUAGUGCAAAUAUCCUUAGGGACCCAAAUGCAAGUUUUAUCACCCUUGCAUUUUGCCCCUAACUUUCUAGCAAUUACCUUUCUAUCCUUUCUAUAAAUUGCAAAGGAAGCAUUCAAAGCAUGAUAUAUUGUAGAAGGCUCAUUAACUUUCCUAGGAAUAUUAACAACAUUUCUCCUAGGCAUAUUAUGAACAACAUUCCUCCUACCAACUUUUCUAUCAUGCACAACAUGAGAACUAGAAGCAGUCAUAGCAUAAGAAUCAUAAACAUGUGAAUCAAAAGCAUCAUAUCUUCUAAAAGCAUUUCUAGAAUUUUUCUUAUCAUGAUACAAAAAGGCAUGGUUCUUUUUAACACUAGUAGCCAUAGGGGUCUUCCCUUUCUCCUUGGCGGAGAUGGGAGCCUUAUGGCUUGUCAAGUUCUUGACUUCCCUCUUGAAGCCAAGCCCAUCCUUAAUUGAGGGGUGUCUACCAAUUGUGUAGGCAUCCCUUGCAAAUUUUAGUUUAUCCAAAUCACUCUUGCUAGUCUUGAGUUGGGCAUUAAGACUAGCUACUUCAUCAUUUAAUUUAGAAAUGCACUCUAGGUGUUCACUACAAGCAUCAACAUUAAAGUCUUUACACCUAGUGCAAAUCACAACAUGUUCUACACAAGAUGUUAAUUUACUAGAUUUUUCUAGCUUAGCAUUUAAAUCAUCAUUUUUGCUCUUUAAACUAGCAAUUGAAUCAUGACAUGUAGACAACUCACAAGAAAGCAUUUCAUUUCUCUUAAUUUCUAAUGCGAGUGAUUUUUGUGCUUCUACAAAUUUGUCAUGUUCUUCAUACAACAAAUCCUCUUGCUUUUCUAAAAGCCUAUUCUUAUCAUUCAAGGCAUCAAUUAAUUCAUUUAUUUUGUCUACCUUGGUUCUAUCUAGGCCCUUAAAUAAGUAUGAAUAGUCUAUGUCAUCAUCAUCACUAGACUCAUCCUCACUAGAAGAAGCAUAAGUAGAGUUUCGAGUACUUACCUUCUUCUCCCUUGCCAUAAGGCAUGUGUGAUGCUCGUUGGGGAAGAGGGAUGACUUGUUGAAGGCGGUGGCGGCGAGUCCUUCAUUGUCGGAGUCGGAGGAGCAAUCCGAAUCCCACUCCUUUCCGAUGUGUGCCUCGCCCUUGGCUUUCUUGUAAUUCUUCUUCUUUUCCCUCUUGUUCCCCUGUUCCUGGUCACUAUCGUUAUCGGGGCAGUUAGCGAUAAAAUGACCAAUCUUACCGCACUUGAAGCAUGAGCGCUUCCCUUUUGUCUUGGUCUUGCUUGGCUGCCCCUUGUGACCUUUUAGCACCGUCUUGAAGCGUUUGAUGAUGAGAGCCAUCUCUUCAUCAUUAAGUCCGGCUGCCUCAAUUUGUGCCACCUUGCUAGGUAGCGCCUCCUUGCUUCUUGUUGCUUUGAGAGCAAGAGGUUGCGGCUCGUUGAUUGGUCCAUUCAAGGCGUCGUCCACGUAUCUUGCCUCCUUGAUCAUCAUCCGCCCGCUUACGAAUUUUCCGAGUACCUCCUCGGGCGUCAUCUUCGUGUACCUGGGAUUCUCACGAAUAUUGUUCACGAGAUGAGGAUCAAGAACGGUAAAUGACCUUAGUAAUAGUCGGACGACGUCAUGGUCCGUCCAUCGCGAGCUUCCAUAACUCCUUAUUUUGUUGAUAAGGGUCUUGAGCCGGUUGUAUGUUUGGGUUGGCUCCUCGCCCCUUAUCAUUGCAAACCUUCCAAGCUCGCCCUCCACCAACUCCAUUUUAGUGAGCAUGGUGAUGUCGUUCCCCUCGUGAGAAAUCUUGAGGGUGUCCCAUAUCUGCUUGGCAUUGUCCAAGCCGCUCACCUUAUUGUACUCGUCCCUGCACAAGGAGGCUAGCAACACAGUAGUAGCUUGUGCAUUUUUAUGAAUUUGUUCGUUAAUAAACAUAGGGCUAUCCGAGCUAUCAAAUUUCAUUCCAUUCUCUACAAUCUCCCAUAUGCUUGGAUGGAGAGAGAAUAAAUGGCUACGCAUUUUGUGACUCCAAAAUCCGUAGUCCUCCCCAUCAAAGUGUGGAGGUUUGCCAAGAGGAAUGGAAAGCAAAUGCGAAUUCGAACUAUGUGGAAUACGAGAAUAAUCAAAUGAAAAGUUCGAAUUGACCGUCUUCCUGUAGUCGUUGUCGUCGUCCUUGUGGGAAGAAGUAGACUCAUCGCUGUCAUAGUAGACGAUCUCCUUGAUACGUCUUGUCUUCUUCUUCUUCCCAUCUUUACGUCUGUGGCUCGAGCCGGAGUCGUUGGAUUUGUCAUCUUUUGGCUCGUUGACGAAGGACUCCUUUUCCUUGUCGUUGAUCACGAUUCCCUUCCCCUUAGGAUCCAUCUCUUCGGGCGGUUAGUCCCUUUCUUGAAGAGAACGACUUUGAUACCAAUUGAGAGCACCUAGAGGGGGGGUGAAUAGGUGAUCCUGUGAAAACUUAAACUUAUAGCCACAAAAACUUGUUAAGUGUUAGCACAAUUAUUGCCAAGUGGCUAGAAAGGAGUCUCAACAAAACACAAUACCACAAGAGAUCAAUCACAGAGAUGACACAGUGGUUUAUCCCGUGGUUCGGCCAAGACCAACGCUUGCCUACUCCACGUUGUGGCGUCCCAACGGACGAGGGUUGCAAUCAACCCCUCUCAAGCGGUCCAAAGACCCACUUGAAUACCACGGUGUUUUGCUUGCUUUUUCUCAAUCCCGUUUGCGAGGAAUCUCCACAACUUGGAGCCUCUCGCCCUUACAAUUGAAGUUCACUAAGAACACAGAGCAAAGGGGGAAUGAGCAACGCACACAAGACUUCAAGAGAUCAGAGCAACAACACGCACACAAAUCGCAACAAGAGCUCGCAACACAACUCAAAGAGUUCGCAACUCAACAAGAGCUCUAGAUGCUAUCACAAUAAACGAAAUGCGUGAGAUCGAUGUCUUGGUGCUUAGGACUGUUGUAGGAUUGCUUCGUAUCACCCUCCAUGCGCCUAGGGGACCCUUUUAUAGCCCCAAGGCAGCUAGGAGCCGUUGAGAACAAAUCUGGAAGGCCAUCUUUGCCUUUUGUCGUCGGGCGCACCGGACAGUCCGGUGCACACCGGACACUGUCCGGUGCCCGAUUUCCUUCCUUAAACAGCGCGGUCGACCGUUGUAGAUGCGGGAGCCGUUGGCGCACCGGACAUGUCCGGUGCACACCGGACAGUCCGGUGCCCCCUUCCGACCGUUGGCUUGGCCACGUGUCCCGCGCAGAUCGCGCGGCCGACCGUUGGCCCGGCCGACCGUUGGCUCACCGGACAGUCCGGUGCACACCGGACAGUCCGGUGAAUUUUAGCCGUACGCCGUUAGCAAAUUCCCGAGAGCGACCUCUUCGGCCGAGGCAUCCUGGCGCACCGGACACUGUCCGGUGCACCACCGGACACUGUCCAGUGCACCACCGGACAGUCCGGUGCCCCAGACCGAAACAGCCUCUUGGCUGUACACAGCCAAGUCUUCUCUUCUUCUUUCUGUUUCUACCACUUAGACAAAUAUAUUAGUAUACAAAACCAAUGUACUAAGACUUAGAAACAUACCUUUGCUCUAGAUUUGCACUUUGUUCAUCCAUGAGCAUUGAUUCACAUUUAAGCACUUGUGUUGACACUCAAUCACCAAAAUACUUAGAAAUGGCCCAAGGGCACAUUUCCCUUUCAACAUGCAUGAAGGGAAUUUUUUCUUUAGUAAUUUCUUACAAAUUGGGUAUUACACACUAUCCGUCAAGGAACACAGGGUUCCAAGAGUAACAAAUCUACACAAUAUUCAAGUUUGCAAUGAGCUCAAUAGAUGAAGAGGGAGGGAGAAUAGAGAUGAAAUCACCAACGAGUUAAACAAACUUCACCUCACACCAAGGGUCCUUUAAACGAUUAAAGGGAAUGCGAUUUGGGGUGUGAGAGGAGUGAAUGCUCUUGUUUGAGUGUAGGUCAGCCAAGAAUUCGUGGAUGGGCAGGAGUGGUGAAGAGAGAGAGGGUAAAGGGGUAUAUAAAGGAGCCCCCAAAAGUUGGUGGCCGUUGGACUUUUCUGACUAAAAAACUGGUUGAGCCGAUCCUAAAAUCGGCUGAGCCGGUUUCUGCCAGAAAGUUUUUCGGUUCAGUGACCGACUGAGUUGGUGGGUGGACCGGAGUAAAAACCGGCUGAGCUAGUUUACAAAAAGUUGAACACAACUUUUUGGCCGUCGGAGUAGAAAAAUGGAACCGUCCAAAAACUGGCUGAGUUGGUUUUCAAAAACUGGCUGAGCCGGUUUUAAAACUGGCUGAGCUAGUUUUUAGAAAACUGAACACAACCUUAGGGAAGGCUGAGAGGAGAAUUUGAGCAACUUUUCCAAGAGCAUUUAUGAUCAAAAAUCCAGGUUUUCUCGAGGAUUUUGAAGAGAAUUAGACUGAGCUCAUCACAACAACUUACUCAUAUUUUAUGGAUCCCUCUUAAUUGAACGGUGAAUCCUACGACUCAAGAAUUGUAAAAUUUAAUCGGUCGUCGUUCAUAAGCACUUGAAUCACGCCAUAUGAUGUAUAUAUUUAAUCCUCAGUGCUUUACCCUUUAUAUUGUAUACAAAUGGAAUCUGUGCUCCUCCUGUCUUUAAGAUAAUUGUAUACAUGCUAGGAGCAAACUUGUUAGAAACUCAGUUUGUGAAAGUCGCCUAGAGGGGGUGGAUAGGCGAAACCUGAAAAUUAAAACUUUAUCCCCCAACUAGAUCCCUUGAUUAGUGAUUAGAACAAGAUUCACAAUUUACAAAGUAUAAAAACUAAGUCCUUCACUUGUAAGGAGUAUUGCUUUCAAAUAAUGCAGAAUUGAUAAAUCAAUACUACCAAUAAGUCUAUGAGAAUAAAUCAAGAAGGCUUAGAUAAGAAGAGCAAUAACACAAGUUCUUUCUUGCAAAGUGUUGCUUCACUAAAUGAGAAUUUAACUUAAAGCAACACCAAAUAAUAUUAGCAAAGAAUAGUGCAAGAAAAACUUAGGAAGGCAAAGAACAAACAAAUCACAAGCAAUAAGCACACCAGACACGGGUGAUUUGUUUUACUGAGGUUCGGCCCUCGAAGGCCUAGUCCCCGUUGAGGAGUCCACUAAGGAUGGGUCUCUUUCAACCCUUUCCCUCUCUCCACCGAUCACUCAAGAUCGACGAGCUCUUCUUCUUCUUCUCAAGGAUCACUUAAGACCCCGCAAGGACCACCACACUCUUUGGUGUCUCUUGCUAGCUUUUACAAGUCUCCACAACUUUGGAGGAAGUUCAAUGGGAGUCAAAACUCCACGCGCAAAUGAACACAAAGAUGUAGCACACACUAUCUCUCAAUGAAUCUCACAAGGCACUAGUGCUAAACUCAAAUGAGUAGCUCUCUCUUGCUUGCUUUCUCUUUUGUGGCACUUGUGUUGGUUGUAGUGGUCUAAAUCUUGUGUAUAGGAUGGAUCAAUGAAUAUAUGUGGUUGGGAGGGCUUGAGUAUGUCAACCAGAUGACUUGGAAUGUUGCUUGGGCUCCCACACCUUGAAGUGGACGGUUGGGGUGGUAUUUAUAGCCACCAACCAAAAUCUAGUCGUUGGUGAAGUCUGCUGGCGAUAGGCACACCGGACAGUCCGGUGCGCCACCGGACAGUGUCCGGUGCGCCGCCACGUCAUCCUGCCGUUAGGGCUUGGAGCUGGUCGACCGUUGGAGGCUCUAUCCUCAUGUGGCACCGGACAGUCCGGUGCCCCUCUGACCGCUGCUCUGACUUCUGCCGUGGUACUGUUCAUCCGUCAGAGUCGACCGUUGUGCGCAGAUAGCCGUUGCUCCACUGGUGCACCGAACAGUCCGGUGCGCCACCGGACACUGUCCGGUGCUACACCGGACAGUCCGAUGAAUUAUAGCGGAGCUGCGCCUGGGAAACCCGAAGGUGAAGAGUUCGAGCUGAUUCACCCUGGUGCACCGGACACUGUCCGGUGGCACACCGGACUGUCCGGUGCGCCAGACCAGGGCAGCCUUUGGUUUCCUUUUUGCUCCUUUCUUUUGAGACCUAACUUGUUCUUUUGAUUGGUUUGUGUUGAACCUUUGGCACCUGUAGAAUGUAUAAUCUUGAACAAACUAGUUAGUCCAAUUAUUUGUGUUGGGCAAUUCAACCACCAAAAUCAAUUAGGAAAAGGUUUGACCCUAUUUCCCUUUCAAUCUCCCCCUUUUUGGUGAUUGAUGCCAACACAAACCAAAGCAAAUAUAUAAGUGCAUAAUUGAACUAGUUUGCAUAAUAUAUGUGCAAAGAUUGCUUGGAAUUAAACCAAUCUAUAUUUCAUAAGAUAUGCAUGGAUGCUUUCUUUAUAUUUAAUGUUUUAGACCAUGCUUGCACCAAUGUUUUGUCUUUGCAAGCUCUUUUGGAAAUUCUUUUAAAAGUGUUUUGCAAAAUAGUCAAAGGAUAAAUGAAUAAGAUUUUGAGAAGCAUUUUCAAGAUUUUAAAUUUUCUCCCCCUGUUUCAAAUGCUUUUCCUUUGAUUAAACAAAACUCCCCCUCAAUAAAAUCCUCCUCUUAGUGUUCAAGAGGGUUUUAGAUAUUAGUUUUGAAGAGGGUGUUUCAAUUUGAAAUUCUAUCAAAAAUAAGAUACCAAUUGGAAACACAUCAUUUGAAAAAUCUUUUCUUAACUCAAAUUUUUGAAACUUGGUGGUGGUGCGGUCCUUUUGCUUUGGGCUAAUACUUUCUCCCCCUUUGGCAUUAAUCGCCAAAAACGGAUACUUGAGUGAAAUAUAAGCCCUUUUUAGUUUCUCUCCCCCUUUGGCAAACAAUAUAUGAGUGAAGAUUAUACCAAAUUGGAGAGCUGGCGGAAUACCGGCAAGGACGGAUAAUACCGAAGAUGUAGAGUGGAAGCGAUGUCUUUGCCUAAUACUCCAUUUCCCUUUCAAUCUAAGACUUAAUACAUGAGAUGCUCAUGGAAACAUAUUAGUCUUAGCCUUGGCACAAAAGAGAUAGGAAUUAUGCAAAUGUACCAAAGGAAAGAGACAUGAUUAAAAGGAUAUGUCAAUUAAGCUUAAACAAUUCUAUAUAAUAUAUAUUGCUCCCCCUAAAUAUGUGCAUAGAGAGGAAUACAAAUUUUUGGUCUUAAAUGCCAAGUGCACAUAAUUAGGUUAAUGAGAUCAUAUCUAUAUCAUAGAGAAUGUGAAGUGCAUUGUGUCAUAGUAUAAGCGUGAUGCUCAUGACAAUUUAUGCACUUAUGAAAGCAUGCUAUGAAUAUCUCAAGUAUUUACCCUUAAGGAUUUCAAAGAGGCUUAAGGACCAUCCACCUUUGAAACAAAGGCAACUUAUCCUCGUUACAAGGUUAAUCUUUAAGCUCUUUGACAAUAAUUCACUUCAUCUAAUUUAAACAAAGAUGCAUGAAUAAAUGUCUGAUAAGUUAAACUAGAUAUGAAGCAGGGAUAAUACAUGGACAUGCUUUCUCUUCCUUUUAAAACAAGAUAUGCAAGGAAUGUAGGAAGAUUUAGGUACAUGCUUGAAUGAGAUUGAGCAGUUUUACCCUUUUGUACCUUUACAUAGUGAUGCUCUCUUCAUUGUGCUUUGUCCUUAGUCUUAUUGAAAGUUGCUUAAGACCUAUACUCAAGACAAUGUAUGGAAAUAUUUUGCACAAGAGAGAGUUCUACAACUAGUGAUCCUUUUCUAAGUCAUUGUUAUUAGAUAUCAAGUAGAUCACAAAUUGCAUAAAUAUAUCAUGAAUUCUCCUUUUAACUUAGUUGAAAGGGAAUUAGGCUUACACCUAGUUCCUAAAUAGUUUUGGUGGUUGAAUCGCCCAACACAAACAAUUGGACUAACUAGUUUGCUCUAGAUUAUAUGUUCUACAGGUGCCAAAGGUUCAUAUACAACUAUACUAAAUCGACUGUCCGGAAUACCGUAGAUUAUUCCGGACAGGAGAAGCUUUUUGGAAAAACAGGCCAAGCGCGGACCGUCCGGGCCCUUGCGGCGGACCGUCCGCGACACCGGGAUACCCCUCGGACAGAACCAAUGCAAAAACACAAGUUUCUACUACAGACUAUCCGGAGGAAAAGCAAAGACCGUCCGAGCCCUCGCGCGGACCGUCCGGCCUCAGGCGCGGACCGUCCGGUCGGUAAGAAACCGAAAAACCCGAAGGUGACGGGUUUGGAGAAAUGAAUUAUAGAGGGCCUCGCGGACCGUCCGGGGUGCACGACCGGACCGUCCGCGACUGGCUUUAUCUGACAUCUGACGACGCAUUAAAUGCAAUAUAGCCGUUGAUAUAGCCGUUACUGCUGACCGUUGCAUUUUCAGUCGUUGAUCUUCAGGGGCGGACCGUCCGGACCUGGCUCGCGGACCGUCCGCGCUCAGCAGAAUGGUGUAACGGCUAGGAAGUGGUUGGUGGCUAUAAAUACAACCCCAACCACCUCCAUUCACUUCAUCCAAGCAUUCCAACCUUCAACAUUCAAUACAAGAGCUAGCAAUCCAUUCCAAGACACAUUCAAAGCCUCCAUCUCUCCAAGUUUCACAAUUGAGAAAAGAGAUCAUUAGUGAUUAGUGACUUGAGAGAGAAAGUGAUCCGUGUGUUAUUUGUCGCUCUUGUCGCUUGGCCUUUUCAAUCGUGCUUUCUUGAUUCUUUCAUUGCGAUCAAACUCACUUGUAAUUGAGGCAAGAGACACCAAUCUUGUGGUGAUCCUUGUAGGAACUUUGUGUUCCAAGUGAUUGAGAAGAGAAAGCUCACUCGGUCCGAGGGACCGUUUGAGAGAGGGAAGGGUUGAAAGAGACCCGGCCUUUGUGGCCUCCUCAACGGGGAGUAGGUUUGCGAAAACCGAACCUCGGUAAAACAAAUCCACGUGUCACACUUGUUUAUUCGCUUGCGAUUUGUUUUGCGCCCUCUCUCGCAGACUCGAUUUUAUUUCUAACGCUAACCCGGCUUGUAGUUGUGUUUAUACUUGUAAAUUUCAGUUUCGCCCUAUUCACCCCCCCUCUAGGCGACUAUCAAUUGGUAUCAAAGCCCGGUGCUUCAUUAGAGCCUAACCGCUCGAAGUGAUGUCGGGAGAUCACGCCAAGAAGGAGAUGGAGACCGGCGAAAAGCCCACUACAAGCAACGGGAGCACUUCAUCGGAAGAGUCCCGCACCAAGAGGAGGGAGAAGAAGAAGAGCUCCUCCAACAAAGGGAAGGAGAAGAAAUCUUCCUCUCACCACAAAGAGAAGAAGGAAAAAUCUUCUUCCCACAAGCCGCAUCGAAGCGGAGACAAGCAAAAGAGGAUGAGGAAGGUGGUCUACUACGAGACCGACACUUCAUCAACAUCGACCUCCGACUCCGAUGCUCCCUCCGUAACUUCUAAACGCCAAGAGCGUAAGAAGUUUAGUAAGAUCCCCUUACACUAUCCUCGCAUUUCUAAACAUGCACCUUUACUUUCCGUCCCAUUAGGCAAACCACCAACUUUUGAUGGUGAAGAUUAUGCUAGGUGGAGUGAUUUAAUGCGAUUUCAUCUAACCUCACUCACAAAAGUAUAUGGGAUGUUGUUGAGUUUGGUGCACAGGUACCAUCCAUAGGGGAUAAAGAUUAUGAUGAGGAUGAGGUGGCCCAAAUCGAGCACUUCAACUCUCAAGCGACAACGAUACUCCUCGCCUCUUUAAGUAGAGAGGAGUAUAACAAAGUGCAAGGGUUGAAGAGCGCCAAGGAGGUUUGGGAUGUGCUCAAAACCGCGCACGAGGGAGAUGAGCUCACCAAGAUCACCAAGCGGGAAACGAUCGAGGGGGAGCUCGGUCGGUUCCGGCUUCGCAAAGGGGAAGAGCCACAACACAUGUACAACCGGCUCAAGACCUUGGUGAACCAAGUACGCAACCUCAGGAGCAUAAAGUGGGACGACCAUGAGGUGGUUAAGGUUAUUCUAAGAUCACUUAUUUUCCUUAACCCUACUCAAGUUCAAUUAAUUCGUGGUAAUCCUAGAUAUACUAAAAUGACCCCCGAGGAAGUUAUCGGGCAUUUUGUAAGUUUUGAGUGCAUGAUCGAAGGCUCGAGAAAGAUCAACGAGCUUGACGAACCCACCACAUCCGAAGCUCAACCCGUCGCAUUCAAGGCGACGGAGGAAAAGAAGGAGGAGGCUACACCAAGUCGACAACCAAUAGACGCCUCCAAGCUCGACAAUGAGGAAAUGGCGCUCGUCAUCAAGAGUUUCCGCCAAAUCCUCAAGCAAAGGAGGGGGAAAGACUACAAGUCCCGCUCCAAGAAGGUUUGCUACAAAUGUGGUAAGCCCGGUCAUUUUAUUGCUAAAUGUCCCAUAUCUAGUGACAGUGACCGAGGCGACGACAAGAAGGGGAGAAGAAAGGAGAAGAAGAAGUACUACAAGAAGAAGGGCGGCGAUGCUCAUGUUUGUCGAGAGUGGGAUUCCGACGAAAGCUCAAGUGACUCCUCCGACGACGAGGACGCCGCCAACAUCGCCGUCACCAAAGGGCUUCUCUUCCCCAACGUCGGCCACAAGUGCCUCAUGGCAAAGGACGGCAAACGGAAGAAGGUUAAAUCUAACUCCUCCACUAAAUAUGAGUCUUCUAGUGAUGAUAAUUCUAGUGAUGAGGAGGAUAAUUUACGUACCUUUUUUGCCAACCUCAACAUGCAACAAAAGGAAAAACUUAAUGAAUUAAUUAGUGCCAUCCAUGAAAAGGAUGAUCUCUUGGACACCCAAGAGGACUUCCUUAUUAAAGAAAAUAAGAAGCAUGUUAAGGUUAAAAAUGCUUACGCUCUAGAAGUAGAAAAAUGUCAAAAACUAUCUAGUGAGCUAAGCACUUGCCAUGAGAUGAUUGACAACCUUAAACAUGAAAAUGCUAGUUUAAAUGCUAAGGUUGAUUCUCAUGUUUGCAAUGUUUCAAUUCCCAACCCUAGAGAUAAUAAUGAUGAUUUGCUUGCUAGGAUUGAAGAAUUGAACAUAUCUCUUGCUAGCCUUAGGAAUGAAAAUGAAAAAUUACUUGCUAAGGCUAAAGAUUUUGAUGUUUGCAAUGCUACCAUUUUCGACCUUAGAACUAAGAAUGAUAUCUUGCAUGCUAAGGUUGUAGAAUUAAAAUCUUGCAAACCCUCUACAUCUACCAUUGAGCAUGUUUCCAUUUGUACUAGAUGUAGAGAUGUUGAUAUUAAUGCUAUUCAUGAUCACAUGUCUUUAAUUAAACAACAAAAUGAUCAUAUAGCAAAAUUAGAUGCUAAAAUUGCCGAGCAUAACUUAGAGAAUGAAAAAAAUUAAAUUUGCUAGAAGUAUGCUCUAUAGUGGGAGACGCCCUGGCAUCAAGGAUGGCAUUGGCUUCCAAAGGGGAGACAAUGUCAAACUUAGUGCCCCUCCUAAAAAAUUGUCUAACUUUGUUAAGGGCAAGGCUCCCAUGCCUCAGGAUAACGAGGGUUACAUUUUGUACCCUGCCGGUUAUCCUGAGAGCAAAAUUAGGAGAAUUCAUUCUAGGAAGUCUCACUCUGGCCCAAAUCAUGCUUUUAUGUAUAAGGGUGAGACAUCUAGUUCUAGGCAACCAACCCGUGCUAAGUUGCCUAAGAAAACUCCUAGUGCAUCAAAUGAACACAGUCUUUCAUUUAAAACCUUUGAUGCAUCUUAUGUGUUAACUAACAAAUCCGGCAAGGUAGUUGCCAAAUAUGUUGGGGGCAAGCACAAGGGUUCAAAGACUUGUGUUUGGGUACCCAAAGUUCUUGUGUCUAAUGCCAAAGGACCCAAAACCAUUUGGGUACCUAAAGUCAAGAACUAAACUUGUUUUGUAGGUUUAUGCAUCCGGGGGCUCAAGUUGGAUACUCGACAGCGGGUGCACAAACCACAUGACAGGGGAGAAAAGGAUGUUCUCCUCAUAUGAGAAAAACCAAGAUCCCCAAAGAGCGAUCACAUUCGGGGAUGGAAAUCAAGGUUUGGUCAAAGGUUUGGGUAAAAUUGCUAUAUCUCCUGACCAUUCCAUUUCCAAUGUUUUUCUUAUUGAUUCCUUAGAUUACAACUUGCUUUCUGUAUCUCAAUUGUGUCAAAUGGGCUACAACUGUCUAUUCACUGAUGUUGGUGUCACUGUCUUUAGAAGAAGUGAUGAUUCAAUAGCAUUUAAGGGAGUGUUAGAGGGUCAGCUAUACUUGGUAGAUUUUGAUAGAGCUGAACUCGACACAUGCUUAAUUGCUAAGACUAACAUGGGUUGGCUCUGGCACCGCCGACUAGCUCAUGUUGGGAUGAAGAAUCUUCAUAAGCUUCUAAAGGGAGAACACAUUUUGGGACUAACAAAUGUUCAUUUUGGGAAAGACAGGAUUUGUAGCGCAUGCCAAGCAGGGAAGCAAGUUGGCACUCAUCAUCCGCAUAAGAACAUAAUGACGACCGACAGGCCACUGGAGCUCCUACACAUGGAUCUAUUCGGCCCGAUCGCUUACAUAAGCAUCGGCGGGAGUAAGUACUGUCUAGUUAUUGUGGAUGAUUAUUCCCGCUUCACUUGGGUAUUCUUUUUACAGGAAAAAUCUCAAACCCAAGAGACCUUAAAGGGAUUCUUGAGACGGGCUCAAAAUGAGUUCGGCUUAAGGAUCAAGAAAAUAAGAAGCGAUAACGGGACAGAGUUCAAGAAUUCUCAAAUCGAAGGCUUCCUUGAGGAGGAGGGCAUCAAGCAUGAGUUCUCUUCUCCCUACACGCCUCAACAAAAUGGUGUAGUGGAGAGGAAGAAUCGAACUCUAUUGGACAUGGCAAGAACCAUGCUUGAUGAAUACAAGACUUCGGAUCGGUUUUGGGCGGAGGCAGUCAACACCGCGUGCUACGCCAUCAACCGGUUGUAUCUACACCGAAUCCUCAAGAAGACAUCAUAUGAACUCCUAACCGGUAAAAAGCCCAACAUUUCAUAUUUUAGAGUUUUUGGUAGCAAAUGCUUUAUUCUUGUUAAAAGAGGUAGAAAAUCUAAAUUUGCUCCUAAGACUGUAGAAGGCUUUUUACUUGGUUAUGACUCAAACACAAGGGCAUAUAGGGUCUUUAACAAGUGCACUGGACUAGUUGAAGUCUCAUGUGACGUUGUGUUUGAUGAGACUAACGACUCUCAAGUAGAGCAAGUUGAUCUUGAUGAGAUAGGUGAUGAAGAGGCUCCGUACAUCGCGCUAAGGAACAUGUCCAUUGGGGAUGUGUGUCCUAAGGAAUCCGAAGAGCCUCCAAAUGCACAAGAUCAACCAUCCUCCUCAACGCAAGCAUCCCCACCGACUCAAAAUGUAGAAGCUCAAGUUGAUGAAGAAGAAGAUCAAUCAAAUGAGCCACCUCAAGAUGACGGCAUAGAUCAAGGGGGAGAUGCAAAUGAUCAAGACAAGGAGGACGAAGAGCAAAGACCUCCACACCCAAGAGUCCACCAAGCAAUCCAACGAGAUCACCCCGUCGACACCAUCCUUGGUGACAUUCAUAAGGGGGUAACUACUAGAUCUCGGGUUGCACAUUUUUGUGAGCAUUACUCGUUUGUUUCCUCUAUUGAGCCACACAGGGUAGAGGAAGCACUCCAAGAUUCGGAUUGGGUGAUGGCAAUGCAAGAGGAGCUCAACAACUUCACGAGAAAUGAGGUAUGGCAUUUAGUUCCACGUCCUAACCAAAAUGUUGUAGGAACCAAAUGGGUCUUCCACAACAAGCAAGAUGAGCAUGGUGUGGUGACAAGGAACAAAGCUCGACUUGUGGCCAAGGGAUACUCCCAAGUCGAAGGUUUGGAUUUCGGUGAAACCUAUGCACCCGUAGCUAGGCUUGAGUCAAUUCGCAUAUUAUUGGCCUAUGCUACUUACCAUGGCUUUAAGCUUUAUCAAAUGGACGUGAAAAGUGCCUUCCUCAAUGGACCAAUCAAGGAAGAGGUCUAUGUUGAGCAACCUCCCGGCUUCGAAGACGGUGAGUAUCCUAACCAUGUCUAUAAGCUCUCUAAGGCGCUUUAUGGGCUCAAGCAAGCCCCAAGAGCAUGGUAUGAAUGCCUUAGAGAUUUUCUUAUUGCAAAUGGAUUCAAAGUCGGAAAGGCCGAUCCUACGCUCUUCACCAAAACACUUGAAAAUGAUUUGUUUGUAUGCCAAAUUUAUGUUGAUGAUAUUAUAUUUGGGUCUACUAACGAAUCUACAUGUGAAGAGUUUAGUAGGAUCAUGACACAAAAGUUCGAGAUGUCAAUGAUGGGAGAGUUGAAGUACUUCUUAGGAUUCCAAGUGAAGCAACUCCAAGAGGGCACCUUCAUUAGCCAAACCAAGUACACUCAAGACAUUCUUGCUAAGUUUGGGAUGAAGGAUGCCAAACCCAUCAAGACACCCAUGGGAACUAAUGGGCAUCUCGACCUCGACACGGGAGGUAAGUCGGUAGAUCAAAAGGUAUACCGGUCGAUGAUAGGCUCUUUACUCUAUUUAUGUGCAUCUCGACCGGAUAUUAUGCUUUCUGUUUGCAUGUGUGCAAGAUUCCAAUCCGACCCUAAGGAAUCCCACCUUACGGCCGUAAAACGAAUCUUGAGAUAUUUAGCUUAUACUCCUAAGUUUGGGCUUUGGUACCCUCGGGGAUCCACAUUUGAUUUGAUUGGUUAUUUGGAUGCCGAUUGGGCGGGGUGCAAAAUCAAUAGGAAGAGCACAUCGGGGACUUGCCAGUUCUUGGGAAGAUCCUUGGUGUCUUGGGCUUCAAAGAAGCAAAAUUCGGUCGCUCUUUCCACCGCCGAAGCCGAGUACAUUGCCGCAGGUCACUGUUGCGCGCAAUUGCUUUGGAUGAGGCAAACCCUGCGGGACUAUGGUUACAAAUUAAUCAAAGUCCCUUUGCUAUGUGAUAAUGAGAGUGCAAUCAAAAUGGCCGACAAUCCUGUCGAGCAUAGCCGCACUAAACACAUAGCCAUCCGGUAUCAUUUUCUUAGGGAUCAUCAACAAAAAGGGGAUAUCGAGAUUUCUUACAUUAACACUAAAGAUCAAUUAGCCGAUAUCUUUACCAAACCUCUUGAUGAACAAACUUUUACCAAACUUAGACAUGAGCUCAAUAUUCUUGAUUCACGCAACUUCUUUUGCUAAAUUGCACACAUAGCUCAUAUACCUUUGAUCAUAUCUCUCUUAUAUGAUAUGACUAACAUGUUUUCAAGUCUAUCUCAAACCAAGUCAUAGGUAUAUCGAAAGGGAAUUGGAGUCUUCGGCAAAGACAAAGGCUUCCACUCCGUAACUCAUGCUUCGCCGUCACUCCAAGCCACUCUCCAUCUUUGGGGGAGAAAACAAAAAGACUUCAUCUUUGGUAUAAUCUUCACUCAUUUAUUUAUGACCAAAGAGGAAGAUUGUACUUAGAGGGCUCUAAUGAUUCCGUUUUUGGCGAUUCAUGCCAAAGGGGGAGAAAGUAAGAGCCCAAAGCAAAAGGACCGCACCACCACCAAUUUCAAAAACUUAGUAUUAUAUAUUUUUCAAUUGGUAUUCUAUUGUGUUCAAAAAGGGGGAGAAAGUAGUAUUUCAAAAAUGAUUUAUCAAAACCCUCUUGAACACUAAGAGGAGGAUCUCUUUUAGGGAGAGUGUUGUUUAGUCAAAGGAAAAGCAUUUGAAACAGGGGGAGAAAAUUUCAAAUCUUGAAAAUGCUUUGCAAACUCUUAUUCAUUUACCUUUGACUAUUUGCAAAAGAACUUAGAAAAGAUUUACAAAAGAUUUUGCAAAAACAAAACAUGUGGUGCAAGCGUGGUCCAAAAUGUUAUAAGUAAGAAACAAUCCAUGCAUAUCUUGUAAGUAUUUAUAUUGGCUCAAUUCCAAGCAACCUUUGCACUCACAUUAUGCAAACUAGUUCAAUUAUGCAUUUUUAUAUUUGCUUUGGUUUGUAUUGGCAUCAAUCACCAAAAAGGGGGAGAUUGAAAGGGAAUUAGGCUUACACCUAGUUCCUAAAUAGUUUUGGUGGUUGAAUCGCCCAACACAAACAAUUGGACUAACUAGUUUGCUCUAGAUUAUAUGUUCUACAGGUGCCAAAGGUUCAUAUACAACUAUACUAAAUCGACUGUCCGGAAUACCGUAGAUUAUUCCGGACAGGAGAAGCUUUUUGGAAAAACAGGCCAAGCGCGGACCGUCCGGGCCCUUGCGGCGGACCGUCCGCGACACCGGGAUACCCCUCGGACAGAACCAAUGCAAAAACACAAGUUUCUACUACAGACUGUCCGGAGGAAAAGCAAAGACCGUCCGAGCCCUCGCACGGACCGUCCGGCCUCAGGCGCGGACCGUCCGGUCGGUAAGAAACCGAAAAACCCGAAGGUGACGGGUUCAGAGAAAUGAAUUAUAGAGGGCCUCGCGGACCGUCCGGGGUGCACGACCGGACCGUCCGCGACUGGCUUUAUCUGACAUCUGACGACGCAUUAAAUGCAAUAUAGCCGUUGAUAUAGCCGUUACUGCUGACCGUUGCAUUUUCAGCCGUUGAUCUUCAGGGGCGGACCGUCCGGACCUGGCUCGCGGACCGUCCGCGCUCAGCAGAAUGGUGUAACGGCUAGGAAGUGGUUGGUGGCUAUAAAUACAACCCCAACCACCUCCAUUCACUUCAUCCAAGCAUUCCAACCUUCAACAUUCAAUACAAGAGCUAGCAAUCCAUUCCAAGACACAUUCAAAGCCUCCAUCUCUCCAAGUUUCACAAUUGAGAAAAGAGAUCAUUAGUGAUUAGUGACUUGAGAGAGAAAGUGAUCCGUGUGUAUUUGUCGCUCUUGUCGCUUGGCCUUUUCAAUCGUGCUUUCUUGAUUCUUUCAUUGCGAUCAAACUCACUUGUAAUUGAGGCAAGAGACACCAAUCUUGUGGUGAUCCUUGUAGGAACUUUGUGUUCCAAGUGAUUGAGAAGAGAAAGCUCACUCGGUCCGAGGGACCGUUUGAGAGAGGGAAGGGUUGAAAGAGACCCGGCCUUUGUGGCCUCCUCAACGGGGAGUAGGUUUGCGAAAACCGAACCUCGGUAAAACAAAUCCACGUGUCGCACUUGUUUAUUCGCUUGCGAUUUGUUUUGCGCCCUCUCUCGCGGACUCGAUUUUAUUUCUAACGCUAACCCGGCUUGUAGUUGUGUUUAUACUUGUAAAUUUCAGUUUCGCCCUAUUCACCCCCCCCUCUAGGUGACUAUCAUUAGUGCAUAUCAAGAUAUAUGUCGAUUGAAAUUACCAAUUGAAAUCAAAUUGAAAUUACAUGAGGCACUAAGAAGCAUAAGUGUUAAUUGAAGUUAUUCAAUGAUCAAACACACAACAGAUGCGAUCAAGAGAACAACAUAGGCAUUGGAUCAAUAAACAAGCUUUAAAUGGGAGAAUCCAGUAAAUACGCUACUUUAACAAUGAAAGUUACAAUCCUUGAUAAAGGUGACAUUAUUUUACCAAGAUGGAUUGAAAUGUAGUAGCAUGCCUUAUGAGAAACUUGUUCUCAUACAUGAGACUAUAUGAUAUUAUUAAGAUAAAGUGCUAGUCUCAAUAUAAUCAAGAUAUAGAAAUAGGCUCCCCCUAAAGAUACGCAUCAAGAAAUUGAAUGAAUUGAAUAGAUCCACUCACUUUUAAAGACAAAUAGGGAGAAACAUUAUACAUAUUGAUCAAGGCUUAUAAAAUUUGUAAUAAACAACUUAAGCCUUGCAUUCUCACAAUGAAAAAGAUUUAGAAUGCUUACAACCACAUCAUUGAAUGUUUUGAAGAUCUCAUUAUCCAAGUAGGUGUUGUUGCUCUUGAUGUCUUCCUCUUUCAUUUGAGUGUCCUCCCUUUAUAGUUGACUCUUUUUCCUUCCAAACUUAUUGAAAAUACUCAAGAGAGAUGUGAAUAGCACAAGGGAGUAAAUGAUGAAUGAUGAUUUCUUUAGAUAGAAAAUAAAGACAAUUCAUCAUCCAUAAGUCACAUAGGCAUGAAGCAAACUUCUUAACAUUAGUGCACAUCAUUAAGAAAAAGGAAUAUGCACUUUUUAAAUGUUUUGAUCAAUUAUAGGAAAUUUACUUCUUCAUAUUGAAUUCAUUAGUCAUUACUUAGAAGCAAAUCAAUAUGAGAACAUGUAUAGCAAAGGCAUGAAAUAGAUUCUAAUGGACAAGUGCAUUUAUGAUAAUGAGAUUGAAUACCAAUUGUUGGAACCGGACCGCCGACAUAUGGCGUGUCCGUCGGGGCCGGCCGCACACACGGCGCGCCCACCUAGGCUGUCGGGUCGCGACACACGCGCCCGCACGUAUAGCAGCGGGCUUUAGGUCUCAUGGGCCAACACUCCCCCCAAAAAGGUAGCCGAUUGGUCCAAUAAAGAAUCUUUGCUCUUACCUUUCUUCCUUUGGGUGAAGAGCAACCCUUUGAGGCUUGUGGCUUUAAACUUGCACUUACUCUCUUGUAGAUUUUCAUAAGUGAGCUCAAGAGAAAAGUUAAUAGCAACACAAGCACUAGUUUCCCUUUUGUAAUCAUUUUUUUAUAAGGAAUGAAGAGUGGAUUACUAAAGCAUGGAAACUUUAUAAUAUAAACUAGAUUAUUCCUUGAAGUAUGCUCAGUUUUAACUUAUAAAACAAGCAUAGUUAGUUCUUUAAGAUUAUGGGAAUAAAUCUAAUUCAUAACAUGGAGAGCGAUAAAUGUAGAAGAAUCAUAUCCAAUAUAUAAGCAAGGCAACAUAAAUCAUUGGAUUGACUUUUCUUUUUAUGUUAGAUUAUGCAUCUCCAAAGAGGAACAUAUUUUAGUUAUAGAGAGAAUUUUCAUUUUAUAGGUGUCCUAAGGAUUUGAAUUUCUUACAUGACACCUUAUUAUUUUAGGAACAUGAAAUAUCUCUCUAUAUCUAGCUUCAUGGCAAUAACAAGAUAAUUAGUGUAAGACAUGCCAUGGGAUACUUUCAACAAUUUAAAGCAUGUAGAUUGCUAUGGUAUAGAAAUGAUGAGUGUACAAUCUACCAUAUGAGAGGAAUUUCUUCAAAGAAUGGUGACAUAAUUUAAAAACAUUUGAAGUGCUUUCUUUUUCCAUGUGACUACUCAAGACACAUAAGAAAUGAUAAUUUAAGGUACUUGCACUUAAAGGCAUAAUUGUUACCAUCCUUUGGCUUUCCUCCAUGUUGUAGGCCUUGACUUUUCGGCAUAGGAUGAAUUCUUUAUUUCCUACAACAUCAAUAUCUUCCCCGAGAUGAUAUGAGUUUUAGAUAUAACAAUUCAAAAUAACCUUGGGUCAAUCUUGGAUAUAGAUCUUUGAAGAUUGAUAGCUUGAGUUAACAAGAAUUGACUUGACUCUCUCAAGCACCCCAAAGUUUCAUAUCAUCUCUUUUUCCUGCAAAGCUUGUCAAGCAUAUUUUGGUACCCAUCGCUUGAUGGGUCCAUCAUGGUUAGUCAACAAAGAUCUAGGAACCCAAGAGUCCUUUGUGUUAGCACUAGGUAAACUCAUUACCUUUCUAUCACAAGUUGCAAUUUUGGGUUGCCUAGUUACAUGAGAAUUAAUUGACAAGCUAGGAUUGGGAUUGUUACCAAUGGGACAAUCCUUGCAUUGAUGUCCCUUCUUUCGGCAUAUGUAGCAAAGGUGAUCCUCAAAUCUUGAAGAUUUCUACUUUCCUUGUUUCUUGCUUGCUACAUGGUUAGUUAAUGUUUUCUUUUCUAACCUUAUGCCUUUUUGUUUUAAAUAGGGACAAGACUUAACUAAGUGUCCCUUCUUUGAGCAAUUAAAACAAAGUUUAUCAUCCUUGUUACUAAUCAAAUCAUUUUUAAUAUAGGGACAUGAUCUAAUUAAGUGCCCCUUUCCAAAGCAUUCACUACACUUCUUAUUUCUAUUUGAAUAAAGUGUGACUUGAUUAUUACCUUGGAUGUUACCUUUUAUGGAGGCAUGAUUGAGGCUUUCGGAAGAGGUAUUGUUUUUCUUCUUUUGUUUCCUCCUCUUGGCAAUCCUCAAGUACUUGACAUCUUCUUUAAGGGUUUUAGUGCAUGCCUCGGUUGUUUCCGUCUCAAACUUCUUCACCAUGUGAUCAUGGUUAUCUUGAGAAGGUUGAAUAAUGCACUUCCCUUUAAGUUGUGUCAAGCUCAUUUUUAGCCUCUCAAUUUCUUCUUUGAGCUUUUGAUAUGAAUCAUCGUUUGUUCCUGCAAAUUCUAGCUCAAAGGAAGAUUUGCUUGUCGAUGGACAACAAGCAUUAGCACAUGGUAAUGUGGUUUCUAUUUGAAUACAUGUGCAUGAGUGAGGUUGUUGGGAUUUUAAGUUUUCUAUCACAACCUCAUGAGCAAUAUUUAAUAUGAUAUGAUCAUCCAUAAGAUUUUUAUGAGAACAUAGGAGCAUAUCAUAUUUUUCUUGAAAUGCUAGAUUUUCAUCUUUUAGCUUUUCUACUUGAUCCUUAAGCAGGGCAUUCCUAUUUACUAAUUGAGUGAUACAAUGUAAAGCGUUAUCUUGCUCAAUUGAAAUAGUUUCAUACCUUUGGAUCAAAUCAACAUGAGAGCACUUUAGCUCCUCAUGUUCUUUAGUCAACUUGUCAAAGUAUUGCAUUUUCAUGGAGAGAACAUUCUUUAGCAUUUGACGAGCUUCGCUUUGCUCUCUCGCUCUUUCUAGAAGUUUAAGCAUGACCGCCUUAUCUUCUUGGCUUAGGCGAGCGUAGAGUUGCAUAAAGCUUCUUUCUUCCUCCUCAUCCUUGUUUGUGCUUCUGCUAUCAUUUUCAUUAGCCACACAACAUAUGUGGGAAUCGAAAUGGGAAGACGAACCUUUUGGAGAGGUGGAUUCAUCAUUUGGUCUCCACCGGUCAUUUUCUUCUUCUUCCUUGCAAUGGUUAGUAUCACAAAGACCAAAGGAAGUAGAAGUACAAAAUGAACUAUCAUGUUUGGACUCAUCAAAUUUGCUUUUAAUUCUAGUCCAAAUAUCAUGCACAUCACAAAUAGGUUUAUCAUAUUUUAUUAUGAAGGCAUGAUAAUCUUCUUUGCUAAGGGAUUUACUUAAGAUGUCAUAAGCUAGAUAGUUUAAGCGAAUACAUCUUAAAUCUUCUUCGGAUGCAUUUUCCCUAGCAUAGUUAGAACGAAUGAUAUACUUUUCUAAAAAAAAUUCUAAUUGAGGAUCUACGGUCCUAAAAGCAUUUAUCACCCUAGUAGAAAAGUGGAACCGUCCAAAAACUGGCUGAGUUGGUUUUCAAAAACUGGCUGAGCUAGUUUUUAGAAAACUGGACACAACCUUAGGGAAGGCUGAGAGGAGAAUUUGAGCAACUUUUCCAAGAGCAUUCAUGAUCAAAAAUCAAGGUUUUGUAGAGGAUUUUGAAGAGAAUUAGACUGAGCUCAUCACAACAACUUACUCAUAUUUUAUGGAUCCCUCUUAAUUGAACGGUGAAUCCUACGACUCAAGAAUUGUAAAAUUUAACCGGUCGUCGUUCAUAAGCACUUGGAUCACGCCAUAUGAUGUAUAUAUUUAAUCCUCAGUGCUUUACCCUUUAUAUUGUAUACAAAUGGAAUCUGUGCUCCUCCUGUCUUUAAGAUAAUUGUAUACAUGCUAGGAGCAAACUUGUUAGAAACUCAGUUUGUGAAAGUCGCCUAGAGGGGGGUGGAUAGGCGAAACCUGAAAAUUAAAACUUUAUCCCGCAACUAAAUCCCUUGAUUAGUGAUUAGAACAAGAUUCACAAUUUACAAAGUAUAAAAACUAAGUCCUUCACUUGUAAGGAGUAUUGCUUUCAAAUAAUGCGGAAUUGAUAAAUCAAUACUACCAAUAAGUCUAUGAGAAUAAAUCAAGAAGGCUUAGAUAAGAAGAGCAAUAACACAAGUUCUUUCUUGCAAAGUGUUGCUUCACUAAAUGAGAAUUUAACUUAAAGCAACACCAAAUAAUAUUAGCAAAGAAUAGUGCAAGAAAAACUUAGGAAGGCAAAGAACAAACAAAUCACAAGCAAUAAGCACACCAGACACGGGUGAUUUGUUUUACCGAGGUUCGGCCCUCGAAGGCCUAGUCUGUGGCGGAACCGCCCGAAUUAUUCCAGCUUAAGUGCCCAAGUCGCACCCUUAAGGGCAGCAACACACUUAAACAGGAAUAACCCGUCAGUCCCUCGGAUCUAGUCCGAUAAAGCCACUUAUCCAGGAUCGAAUACCACUAGCUCACUCGAAGGUGAGGCAUAGAGAAAUACAAUAAAACAUAAUAUCACAAAUUUAAUAAGUAUCAUUAGUGAUUACAUUAUCGGAGUUUCAAAAAUAAUAACCAUAAAUUUUUAAUGCAGCGGAAAUAACUAACGGAGAAAACCGAGUAACAUGGCGAAGCCUGGCCACGCUACUCCUCCUGGUCCUCUCUUGCGAAAGCAGUAACCCACUCGACCGUCUAUCCCGGUGGUAGGGAUGAAGGCCAAGUCACACCAUCAACAAAUCAUCCUAAGGAGUACCUGCAAAAAUUAUGCCACAAGCAAGGCUGAGUAUACUAAUACUCAGCUAGACUUACCCGGUGUGAGGAGUCUACUCCUCUACCUCUAGACAUGCAGCUGUUUGGCUGAGGGGUUUGGUUUGCCAAAAGCACUAGCUGAGUCUAAAAUCAAGUUUUAGCUUUUCAAGUUUUAGUAUGCUCCUUUUUAAACUAGGUGAGUACCUAGCUACUCAUACAUGGUAUCAAACAUGUUAUCAAUCAACAUCUUUUGCCAGUCACCUCAUUUCCACUUAUUACUCAAUGCAGUACAAUGGAUCAAGCAGUCUCAUUAGCUGCGAGAAGCAGACGAUUCGAAUCGAGUUUUUAUCCUUGCAAGGUAAACCUAAACACACGACAUGUAGGGGCACUCCGUCCCCACACAUAUCAACCGUCCCCAUCAAUUCCCCGUCAGCAGAUCAGGGCUCACCGCCUUGGCGUACAAUGCCUCACUGACCCCGACUGGCCGUCGUGCAGUGACCGCACUUGUACCCACCAUAACCGGAAUGGGAGACCUCGUCUCAGGUCGCGUGAGGGGCAAAGUCUACUGCCAGGUUCAGUCAGGUACUAGGCUUACCGAUUUACCAUAUUUCUCGGUAUGUGUUUAGUACGUUCAAACGCUUGACACAGGUAUCCGCACGUUAAUCCUUAUUCCAAUUUUCAUCUCGUAGACCACGCGUCCCCAUGGACCCGUGUCCACAGACCAUCAUCAUUCUGUUAUCAAAGUGGAUACAACCAAUUCCUGACCUCGCGCGAGUGCUAGAAAAAUCACUCGACUUCUACCGAGAUCUCUAAUUAGUAAAGCAGCUACUCGACCUAGCAUACUAGUAUCCAUCUCAAAGGUAUCCUGAGUUCAUGCAACUAGGGUUUCAGGCAACUCCUACACUUAAGUGCACAGUACAAGCCUACAAACAUUAAGUGCAGUAAAAUAGCAUAUAUAACGGUUAUGCAUAAAACCGGGGCUUGCCUUUAUUUUAACACUUAGAUAGUGUUUGCUGGGGGUACUCGCUUGACGAGCAUCCACUGGUUAUGUCCAUCCUUCAGGUCGUCCACCACGGCAUCUCGUGGUUGGCACCACAUUACUGGCUCGAUCAUCAUCUCUCGGUCCUAUAUGAGGUGCAAGAUGCAUAUGUAUGAAUAUAAUGGAAUAGCACAAGAUACUUUAAGUACACGCUAGCGAAUUAAACACUAAGUAGCGAGACAUCACAAGCAACCACACCCACUAGCGUUAGCUAACUACAUAUCGUCAAGCGCACAACAUUAAACCACUAAAAAGACGACAAACAUUUUGGAUAUUUACGCAACACAAUCCUACAUCACAGUUAAAAAGAGAAAGAACUUAUAAAAACAUGACACAUAUAUUAUCUCAAGCUUAGCCAUGGCAAUUCUAUGUGAAUUUAGUGCCAACCAAUCAUUUUUAGCCAAAAGGGUGAACUAACAAUUAAAUGAGUGCUUGCAGAUUUUUGGGACAGCAACACAGCAGCUACUUGUUUUAAUCAUAACUUUUCAAAUAUUAAUCCAAAAAUAGCAAACUAAAACUUUAUGGAAAUUUUAGAAAGUUCUCUACAACUUUGGUAUUGUCAUCACAACAUGAUUAAACACUUAGCAAGGUCAAAAUGUGUUAGCACAACAGCGCUGUCCAGAUUUGGACAGAUGCAGACUUGCAACUUCAAAAAUUCACAACAAAAGAUUCAGACAUCCAAACAAAGUGAUCCUAGACUUUCUGGAAAGCUAAAUAAAUGUUCUACAAAUUAUUUAUAAACAUCCCUGGCUGGUUUAGCAUGUAUCAAGGGUAAAAUAUACUAUGAAGGCUGUGCUGUCCAAAACUGGACAGAUUCAGUCUUCACACUUCAAACACAUGUAACUUAAUCUUCAGACCACCAAAAAGAGUGAUCUAAGACUUUUUGAAAAGCUUAGCAAAAGUACUACACAACUUUUAUAAUCACUAAGAAGUGAUUCAAUGUUUAACUAAAUCAAACAGCACAGUUUUCGAAAUCUGUUCUGACGGUGGACAGAACACAGCAACCAAGUUGUAAAAUUCAUGACUCUUAAACCGUCAGGCCUAUAGUUAUGAAAUUUUAACACAAGCAAGAUAAGAAAAGCAUCUACAACUUUCUUAUAAUGACCAUGAACAGAUUGCAACAUUAAAUUGAACAAACAAUACAGUUUCUGAAAUCUGUACAGAAUUUGGACAGAUUCAGUUACUGAAUUUGUAAAAAUCCUAACUCCUAAACCGUCAGACCUAUGGCUGUCAAAUUUUAACACCAGCAAGAUAAUAAGGUUAUCUACCACUUUUCUAGAGCACAUAUCUACAGAAAACACAAUUUGGUUCAUCAAACAUACAGCACACCGAAAACAGUACGUGCAGUCCCAAAACAGCAAUCAAUACAUUUCAGCUUCUAUACAAUUCAAAAUUGCCGCGUUCUAGAGACUUGAAUUAUUCUAACACUUUACCAAUUGUUAGAGUUAAAAUAAUCAUAUGAGGACUAACAAGUAGACUCACUAAUUUUCAUCCAAGUUAUUUAGUGCACUAAAAUUAUCACAUUCAGUUAACAAACGCAUUCCCACAAUCAUCAAGUCCGGCAUAUACUUAUAUCUAAGCGCUUUUCACCCACUAGUCCGCAUUUUAGUUUAGACACCACAUGAGCACUACAGAUUUUUACCCGCGCCCAUAACCAUACACAUUUAGACCACACAAGCCAUUCGCUGUGAUUACGAGCUUAACCAAGUUAUCUAACCAUUCGGUUAACUAGAGCAACGACAUCGCCGCUAAAUAACAUACACGUCAACUUGCCUUUUAUUGUCGCAAUCCGAGACACAACAUAUACUACAACAUUUUUAUAAACCCACAGAUUCACAAGUAUAUUCGCACACCGACCAAAUCAUACGAAUCGUAAACUACUAGUCUCCAACUCACAAUCACCAUGCAUUUACUUCCCAAUCAUAAACACAUACAUGUUUAUCAUACGAACAGAGCAUUUCAAUAGUUAUCCUAAAACAAUUAACUCCAUUACACAACUCAUACCACAAACCUACUUGACUUGCUUGAAGUGUCUACUCGAAUCCGUGAGCACAAUCACACAUUAUAUGCGAAGCAUAAUUUAACGAACACAAAAUACGCAUCGACUCGAUUCGACUUAUAAGAAUUGAGAAAGCGAUGACUACUUUGGCAUGUCACCACCUCUCUAAUUAAGCAAACACAAUUUCCUACUUAUAUCGACCGAACAUUCGUGUCGAGCACACCUUAUGUUACCUUGUCUCGCAUACAACCAUGUUGUGGCAUGCACUCGAGACACUACCGAUUAACUUAACGCAAUUACCACCACAAUGCACUUCGAUAUACACGUUUGACAUCACAGUGCUUCGACAGACCUCACACUCCUAAUCUACUUGUCACACCCAAACACACCACGUGACCACUGCAUUCUUAUAACCAAAUUUUAGCGCAAUUAUUUAUGACAACACUUAGCGAUUAGACGAGUGAAACACCAACUGACUAUUCGUACAUUCGCCUUUGAAACACUUAAUCAUAUGUGACAUAAUUUAUAUUUUCAACCCACUCUAACCUACACCAUGAUGAAUACAUAAAAUAUAUUUACAUAGACUAACUCAUUAGCCGACAGCGGAAACCACCACAUGCUUUACGCUUUAUUAGAUUUACCACGACUAACACACUGCUUUAUGACGAAGUAUUUUAACAAACGAUUAAUACCAUCCACGAACCAUCCUCGUGACACCUAAAUGAAUCAUCGCAACCAUAUAUAUUCAAACACCAAUACACACCACAUCGACCAAAACGUAUUUAGACAAACUACAAAUCGCACACAUCAAACAACUUCUUGUGCUCCAACCGCAAAUGUGCUCCUACCAAAAUAUAAAAAAAACAUCCGAGUUCUUGUUCUACUCCGUUUUCUUCUAUAUACGUAUUCAUUCAUACAAUUAUAAUUUCACGCACAUAUUCACACACACACGUCAUCGACCAACCACAUAAAUAAAACAAAUCACGAAUCAUUCAAGGCGAACAACCUGGCCGAAAUCCGAUCGGAGUUGCACAUGCAUGCCAUCAGACUGGGCUUUUUGCCGACGAGCGACGGGCGAGGCGUGACGACGACACGGCUGCGAACACGACACAUUUUAUUACACGAUUUGCUGUUGCGGCCAUUCAAUCGAACACGAAAAGUGCGGGACAGCUAGUAGCUCACUGAGGUUGUUGCUCGCUGCCCAGAUUGACGACUAGCGGAGCUCGAUGCCGACGUGCUGGGAAACGAUGGCAGCCAGGGCCGUGUAGAUCGACGGGGCUCGCUGCUGCGGGCCGGCAUCGCUGCGUAGAUCGGCUGACGCCGCACGGAGAGGGCCGAGCACAGGGGUGGAUGGCGGCCAGAUGGGGAGCUCACGGCCAUGGGGGGAAAUGGAGCUGCACAGGGACUGCUGCUGGGAGGAAGAUGAACAGGGCACUGGAAAAAAAAAUCUGGGCGUUGGGAGCUGCUGCCGCGCGAGAGAGUAGGAGCAGGGGCAAGCUCAAGGCGUUCCUGGCCGGGCAAGGAAGGGCAGGGGCGCCAUGAAUGGGGAGGAGCUGAGCUCGCAGGGAGGGCUGGCGGCCACGGAAGUCGCAGGGGCGCCAUGGGAAGUGGAAUGCAGAGCUGUAGCUGGUCCUGCCUGAAGGGAGGCGAGCCGGAGGAGGGGUGCGCGCGUCCAGGUGAUGAAGGGGGCGACCACAGGGCACCAGGGAACAGGGAGCCGAGCGCCAUGGGGGAAGCUCGCCUGGGCGCCUGCCAUGGAGGAGUUUCUGCGCGGCGUCCAAAACAGGGAAGGUGGAGCUCGCGCCCCUGGGAGAAGAAAGGCAGGGGAGGGAGCAUGCUUGGGCACCGGCUUGAGGAAGAAAGGCUUGGGCGCCAUGGAGAGGAAAGGAGCCGAGCUCCCUGCGCACUGGGGAAGAAGGUGCUGCUGCGCGUGGGGGAAGAAGACAGGGAGGCUGUGGCGGCUGGGAAAAGAAUAGGGGUGGGAGUGCAAAACAGCCAAGGGCAAGGGAGAGGGAUCCGUAUUUAUAGAGAAACCCUAGGGUUAGGGUUUCAAAUGGGCCUAAUUGGGCUGGGUUGGGCUGGCCCAAACACGAAAUCAGGCUGCGUUAAAUUAUUUCUGGAAUAAAAAUGCUCUCGCGGAAUUCAUCGCUACGGGGAAAAAAAAGAGCGAAAAGAGUUCGGACGAACGAAAGGUUGAGCGAUUAACUCGGUCGAGAGUUUGGUUUGACUUUGCUCGAAAAUAAUUCCCUACGCGUGAUUUGAAAAUAAAUCGUCCUGAGAUUUGAUCGACUUUGGAUUUUUAGUCGGAGAAAGCGAAUCGUGAUAUUUAAAAAUCGCUGCCGAUGUUGAUUUUGAAAUCGGAUUGGAUACAGAGAUAUUAAGCCGAAUCAGAUAAAAAUUAAUUAGAGGACGACAGACUGAGUAUUCCGUUUGAGAGUACGGAUCCAAAUAAAAUAGUCGAACAUCGAUCGAAGUUCGAGGAAUUGAAUUCGGGCUCAGAUCAGAUAAUAGUCGUCGAGAGUUUGAUUUAAUGAACAUCAGAUGAGAUUUAUAAUUCGAGAAUGAUCUUCGAGUCUGCAUUUGUUCUGAGAAUUAAAAGUUUUUAACACGCUCCAAAAUUGGUUGUUUCUCGUGAUCGAUUAACUCCGAAUUCGGUGAACUUCCAUGAGAAAGCCUGAUAAACAGAGAUAGGCACGAUCGAGAAAUAGAAAUUUUUACUGAGCAUCCGAGAUUAGGAUUAAUCUUUCGACAUAACACGAAAUAGACACCUGGGGUGUCACAGCCUUCCCCCCUUAAACAGAAUCUCGUCCCGAGAUUCGAAUGAGGAUCUUCAAGGGUGGAGAAGCAUGUAACUCCCAGGCUAGAGAUAGAUGCAACUUCAUGAGAUGGGAUCUGACAAGACAAUGAAGAUAGAUUCGGAUAGAAUAUCGCGGCAUGCUGAGACAAAAUGCUGCGAUCACUUUGAGAGAAUGUUCACAAAAGAUAGCACAUCAGUAUAGUUUCGUAAUGGAUCACGACUAUUAACCACGAUACCAGCGCGUACUGAGUAGCUCAACCAUGUGUGCACCAUAGUAGGCUCUCGGUUUCGUCGCGGCACCAUCGGUCGCUAGUCAUAACACCAUUACCAAACGUAACCAAUGAGAAUUCCACAUAGCAUAAAUAGAUGGAGCCCAUGAGAGUAUGGCUCGGAAAAUAAGAAUGUGAUCGGAGUUGAAGCAGAGAUUGCUGGCAAAAGAGCAUCAUAUGAGAAUUUUCUUCAACUCAGAAAAUUAUUUUAUGAUCAUCAUGGAGAUUAUUAGGCCAGAGAUUAGUACGAGAUUUGAUAUGAGAAGGAACCAACCAUGAGAUCAAGAUUGAUGAGUUUUUAGAGACCUGAGAGAACUAAAGUCAACGGCAUAAUCCAUUGAACCAAAUGUAUCCACUGCUUAGAGAUAAAAUCGAUAAAACAGCGUCAUGAUCCUCAAAGAAGGGGUAUGAGAAUGAUCAGAAGUGACAAAUUUAGGCAGAUCAACAUCUGAUACUUGAGGAUGGGUUAUAGCAGAUACCCAGAUAACAGGGCAGAAUCAUUAAAGGAUCCAGAGAUUUGGAUGAUAAGUCACAACAUGAUUCACAAGGAGAAAGAUUACCAGAUCCAAGCGAAAGGAGAGGUAGGCAAAUAGGAUCAGCUAGAUGAUCAACAGGAAUGCUAUGAAGUUUUAGGGGCAAGGAUUUAUGAAAAGAAACAUGGCCUUGAUAGGGUUUGCGCAACUAGACAAUAACAACAAUUUUAUUUUUCUGACACAAGUGCACAAGGAGACUUGGGCUGGUCUAGCGGUCAAGCUAUGGGCAUCUAUAGGUUGUGCGGGUGCAUUAUCAAUAGUGCAACACACAAGGGCUAGAAAACACCAACACAAGCAUGUGAUUUGAUUUUUUUAAUGGUUUCACUUGCUAACCACUAGGUUGUUUAAAGUGGGGGUGUAUUUUUAUGAGGAAACAAACAACACAUUUUUUUGCAAAAAGGGUUGAACAAUUUCAAUACCACCUAGAUAGCAAGGCAAGAGAAACACAUAACACAACCUAACAAGACUUACCAAUCUGACAUGAGGUACGACAUUUCUAACAUAACAGUACAUCACAUUAUUCACAAGUUUUAUUAUUGGAAUAAAAGUGAGAGAAGCAUGUUGAUGCGCAAGAGACAAUUAUAAUGCGACAAUCAGGAUGCAUGCUCAUUCUAGUCGUCUUCUCAGACCUAACUAAGUCUUCGGGUGCUGCUAUAGCAUCCCUAUUAAUAGUAUUAGUAGCCUUUAUGGCCUAUAUAAAUAGCCACCUAGCUACCCAUCUAUUCCUAAGGCUUCACGUCCUAGGUCUAUCCUUAUCGUCCUGAUAUCUAUCCAACUUUGGUUUCUAAGCAAGUUUUACUUUAGAAAAGGUUGGUAAUCAUGACUUAUUGACUUCUCUGUGAUGGUAUUCGCUCCGAUACCAGCUGUGGCGGAACCGCCCGAAUUAUUCCAGCUUAAGUGCCCAAGUCGCACCCUUAAGGGCAGCAACACACUUAAACAGGAAUAACCCGUCAGUCCCUCGGAUCUAGUCCGAUAAAGCCACUUAUCCAGGAUCGAAUACCACUAGCUCACUCGAAGGUGAGGCACAGAGAAAUACAAUAAAACAUAAUAUCACAAAUUUAAUAAGUAUCAUUAGUGAUUACAUUAUCGGAGUUUCAAAAAUAAUAACCAUAAAUUUUUAAUGCAGCGGAAAUAACUAACGGAGAAAACCGAGUAACAUGGCGAAGCCUGGCCACGCUACUCCUCCUGGUCCUCUCUUGCGAAAGCAGUAACCCACUCGACCGUCUAUCCUGGUGGUAGGGAUGAAGGCCAAGUCACACCAUCAACAAAUCAUCCUAAGGAGUACCUGCAAAAAUUAUGCCACAAGCAAGGCUGAGUAUACUAAUACUCAGCUAGACUUACCCGGUGUGAGGAGUCUACUCCUCUACCUCUAGACAUGCAGCUGUUUGGCUGAGGGGUUUGGUUUGCCAAAAGCACUAGCUGAGUCUAAAAUCAAGUUUUAGCUUUUCAAGUUUUAGUAUGCUCCUUUUUAAACUAGGUGAGUACCUAGCUACUCAUACAUGGUAUCAAACAUGUUAUCAAUCAACAUCUUUUGCCAGUCACCUUAUUUCCACUUAUUACUCAAUGCAGUAAAAUGGAUCAAGCAGUCUCAUUAGCUGCGAGAAGCAGACGAUUCGAAUCGAGUUUUUAUCCUUGCAAGGUAAACCUAAACACACGACAUGUAGGGGCACUCCGUCCCCACACAUAUCAACCGUCCCCAUCAAUUCCCCGUCAGCAGAUCAGGGCUCACCGCCUUGGCGUACAAUGCCUCACUGACCCCGACUGGCCGUCGUGCAGUGACCGCACUUGUACCCACCAUAACCGGAAUGGGAGACCUCGUCUCAGGUCGCGUGAGGGGCAAAGUCUACUGCCAGGUUCAGUCAGGUACUAGGCUUACCGAUUUACCAUAUUUCUCGGUAUGUGUUUAGUACGUUCAAACGCUUGACACAGGUAUCCGCACGUUAAUCCUUAUUCCAAUUUUCAUCUCGUAGACCACGCGUCCCCAUGGACCCGUGUCCACAGACCAUCAUCAUUCUGUUAUCAAAGUGGAUACAACCAAUUCCUGACCUCGCGCGAGUGCUAGAAAAAUCACUCGACUUCUACCGAGAUCUCUAAUUAGUAAAGCAGCUACUCGACCUAGCAUACUAGUAUCCAUCUCAAAGGUAUCCUGAGUUCAUGCAACUAGGGUUUCAGGCAACUCCUACACUUAAGUGCACAGUACAAGCCUACAAACAUUAAGUGCAGUAAAAUAGCAUAUAUAACGGUUAUGCAUAAAACCGGGGCUUGCCUUUAUUUUAACACUUAGAUAGUGUUUGCUGGGGGUACUCGCUUGACGAGCAUCCACUGGUUAUGUCCAUCCUUCAGGUCGUCCACCACGGCAUCUCGUGGUUGGCACCACAUUACUGGCUCGAUCAUCAUCUCUCGGUCCUAUAUGAGGUGCAAGAUGCAUAUGUAUGAAUAUAAUGGAAUAGCACAAGAUACUUUAAGUACACGCUAGCGAAUUAAACACUAAGUAGCGAGACAUCACAAGCAACCACACCCACUAGCGUUAGCUAACUACAUAUCGUCAAGCGCACAACAUUAAACCACUAAAAAGACGACAAACAUUUUGGAUAUUUACGCAACACAAUCCUACAUCACAGUUAAAAAGAGAAAGAACUUAUAAAAACAUGACACAUAUAUUAUCUCAAGCUUAGCCAUGGCAAUUCUAUGUGAAUUUAGUGCCAACCAAUCAUUUUUAGCCAAAAGGGUGAACUAACAAUUAAAUGAGUGCUUGCAGAUUUUUGGGACAGCAACACAGCAGCUACUUGUUUUAAUCAUAACUUUUCAAAUAUUAAUCCAAAAAUAGCAAACUAAAACUUUAUGGAAAUUUUAGAAAGUUCUCUACAACUUUGGUAUUGUCAUCACAACAUGAUUAAACACUUAGCAAGGUCAAAAUGUGUUAGCACAACAGCGCUGUCCAGAUUUGGACAGAUGCAGACUUGCAACUUCAAAAAUUCACAACAAAAGAUUCAGACAUCCAAACAAAGUGAUCCUAGACUUUCUGGAAAGCUAAAUAAAUGUUCUACAAAUUAUUUAUAAACAUCCCUGGCUGGUUUAGCAUGUAUCAAGGGUAAAAUAUACUAUGAAGGCUGUGCUGUCCAAAACUGGACAGAUUCAGUCUUCACACUUCAAACACAUGUAACUUAAUCUUCAGACCACCAAAAAGAGUGAUCUAAGACUUUUUGAAAAGCUUAGCAAAAGUACUACACAACUUUUAUAAUCACUAAGAAGUGAUUCAAUGUUUAACUAAAUCAAACAGCACAGUUUUCGAAAUCUGUUCUGACGGUGGACAGAACACAGCAACCAAGUUGUAAAAUUCAUGACUCUUAAACCGUCAGGCCUAUAGUUAUGAAAUUUUAACACAAGCAAGAUAAGAAAAGCAUCUACAACUUUCUUAUAAUGACCAUGAACAGAUUGCAACAUUAAAUUGAACAAACAAUACAGUUUCUGAAAUCUGUACAGAAUUUGGACAGAUUCAGUUACUGAAUUUGUAAAAAUCCUAACUCCUAAACCGUCAGACCUAUGGCUGUCAAAUUUUAACACCAGCAAGAUAAUAAGGUUAUCUACCACUUUUCUAGAGCACAUAUCUACAGAAAACACAAUUUGGUUCAUCAAACAUACAGCACACCGAAAACAGUACGUGCAGUCCCAAAACAGCAAUCAAUACAUUUCAGCUUCUAUACAAUUCAAGAAUUGCCGCGUUCUAGAGACUUGAAUUAUUCUAACACUUUACCAAUUGUUAGAGUUAAAAUAAUCAUAUGAGGACUAACAAGUAGACUCACUAAUUUUCAUCCAAGUUAUUUAGUGCACUAAAAUUAUCACAUUCAGUUAACAAACGCAUUCCCACAAUCAUCAAGUCCGGCAUAUACUUAUAUCUAAGCGCUUUUCACCCACUAGUCCGCAUUUUAGUUUAGACACCACAUGAGCACUACAGAUUUUUACCCGCGCCCAUAACCAUACACAUUUAGACCACACAAGCCAUUCGCUGUGAUUACGAGCUUAACCAAGUUAUCUAACCAUUCGGUUAACUAGAGCAACGACAUCGCCGCUAAAUAACAUACACGUCAACUUGCCUUUUAUUGUCGCAAUCCGAGACACAACAUAUACUACAACAUUUUUAUAAACCCACAGAUUCACAAGUAUAUUCGCACACCGACCAAAUCAUACGAAUCGUAAACUACUAGUCUCCAACUCACAAUCACCAUGCAUUUACUUCCCAAUCAUAAACACAUACAUGUUUAUCAUACGAACAGAGCAUUUCAAUAGUUAUCCUAAAACAAUUAACUCCAUUACACAACUCAUACCACAAACCUACUUGACUUGCUUGAAGUGUCUACUCGAAUCCGUGAGCACAAUCACACAUUAUAUGCGAAGCAUAAUUUAACGAACACAAAAUACGCAUCGACUCGAUUCGACUUAUAAGAAUUGAGAAAGCGAUGACUACUUUGGCAUGUCACCACCUCUCUAAUUAAGCAAACACAAUUUCCUACUUAUAUCGACCGAACAUUCGUGUCGAGCACACCUUAUGUUACCUUGUCUCGCAUACAACCAUGUUGUGGCAUGCACUCGAGACACUACUGAUUAACUUAACGCAAUUACCACCACAAUGCACUUCGAUAUACACGUUUGACAUCACAGUGCUUCGACAGACCUCACACUCCUAAUCUACUUGUCACACCCAAACACACCACGUGACCACUGCAUUCUUAUAACCAAAUUUUAGCGCAAUUAUUUAUGACAACACUUAGCGAUUAGACGAGUGAAACACCAACUGACUAUUCGUACAUUCGCCUUUGAAACACUUAAUCAUAUGUGACAUAAUUUAUAUUUUCAACCCACUCUAACCUACACCAUGAUGAAUACAUAAAAUAUAUUUACAUAGACUAACUCAUUAGCCGACAGCGGAAACCACCACAUGCUUUACGCUUUAUUAGAUUUACCACGACUAACACACUGCUUUAUGACGAAGUAUUUUAACAAACGAUUAAUACCAUCCAUGAACCAUCCUCGUGACACCUAAAUGAAUCAUCGCAACCAUAUAUAUUCAAACACCAAUACACACCACAUCGACCAAAACGUAUUUAGACAAACUACAAAUCGCACACAUCAAACAACUUCUUGUGCUCCAACCGCAAAUGUGCUCCUACCAAAAUAUAAAAAAAACAUCCGAGUUCUUGUUCUACUUCGUUUUCUUCUAUAUACGUAUUCAUUCAUACAAUUAUAAUUUCACGCACAUAUUCACACACACACGUCAUCGACCAACCACAUAAAUAAAACAAAUCACGAAUCAUUCAAGGCGAACAACCUGGCCGAAAUCCGAUCGGAGUUGCACAUGCAUGCCAUCAGACUGGGCUUUUUGCCGACGAGCGACGGGCGAGGCGUGACGACGACACGGCUGCGAACACGACACAUUUUAUUACACGAUUUGCUGUUGCGGCCAUUCAAUCGAACACGAAAAGUGCGGGACAGCUAGUAGCUCACCGAGGUUGUUGCUCGCUGCCCAGAUUGACGACUAGCGGAGCUCGAUGCCGACGUGCUGGGAAACGAUGGCAGCCAGGGCCGUGUAGAUCGACGGGGCUCGCUGCUGCGGGCCGGCAUCGCUGCGCAGAUCGGCUGACGCCGCACGGAGAGGGCCGAGCACAGGGGUGGAUGGCGGCCAGAUGGGGAGCUCACGGCCAUGGGGGGAAAUGGAGCUGCGCAGGGACUGCUGCUGGGAGGAAGAUGAACAGGGCACUGGAAAAAAAAUCUGGGCGUUGGGAGCUGCUGCCGCGCGAGAGAGUAGGAGCAGGGGCAAGCUCAAGGCGUUCCUGGCCGGGCAAGGAAGGGCAGGGGCGCCAUGAAUGGGGAGGAGCUGAGCUCGCAGGGAGGGCUGGCGGCCACGGAAGUCGCAGGGGCGCCAUGGGAAGUGGAAUGCAGAGCUGUAGCUGGUCCUGCCUGAAGGGAGGCGAGCCGGAGGAGGGGUGCGCGCGUCCAGGUGAUGAAGGGGGCGACCACAGGGCACCAGGGAAUAGGGAGCCGAGCGCCAUGGGGGAAGCUCGCCUGGGCGCCUGCCAUGGAGGAGUUUCUGCGCGGCGUCCAAAACAGGGAAGGUGGAGCUCGCGCCCCUGGGAGAAGAAAGGCAGGGGAGGGAGCAUGCUUGGGCACCGGCUUGAGGAAGAAAGGCUUGGGCGCCAUGGAGAGGAAAGGAGCCGAGCUCCCUGCGCACUGGGGAAGAAGGUGCUGCUGCGCGUGGGGGAAGAAGACAGGGAGGCUGUGGCGGCUGGGAAAAGAAUAGGGGUGGGAGUGCAAAACAGCCAAGGGCAAGGGAGAGGGAUCCGUAUUUAUAGAGAAACCCUAGGGUUAGGGUUUCAAAUGGGCCUAAUUGGGCUGGGUUGGGCUGGCCCAAACACGAAAUCAGGCUGCGUUAAAUUAUUUCUGGAAUAAAAAUGCUCUCGCGGAAUUCAUCGCUACGGGGAAAAAAAAGAGCGAAAAGAGUUCGAACGAACGAAAGGUUGAGCGAUUAACUCGGUCGAGAGUUUGGUUUGACUUUGCUCGAAAAUAAUUCCCUAUGCGUGAUUUGAAAAUAAAUCGUCCUGAGAUUUGAUCGACUUUGGAUUUUUAGUCGGAGAAAGCGAAUCGUGAUAUUUAAAAAUCGCUGCCGAUGUUGAUUUUGAAAUCGGAUUGGAUACAGAGAUAUUAAGCCGAAUCAGAUAAAAAUUAAUUAGAGGACGACAGACUGAGUAUUCCGUUUGAGAGUACGGAUCCGAAUAAAAUAGUCGAACAUCGAUCGAAGUUCGAGGAAUUGAAUUCGGGCUCAGAUCAGAUAACAGUCGUCGAGAGUUUGAUUUAAUGAACAUCAGAUGAGAUUUAUAAUUCGAGAAUGAUCUUCGAGUCUGCAUUUGUUCUGAGAAUUAAAAGUUUUUAACACGCUCCAAAAUUGGUUGUUUCUCGCGAUCGAUUAACUCCGAAUUCGGUGAACUUCCAUGAGAAAGCCUGAUAAACAGAGAUAGGCACGAUCGAGAAAUAGAAAUUUUUACUGAGCAUCCGAGAUUAGGAUUAAUCUUUCGACAUAACACGAAAUAGACACCUGGGGUGUCACAUAGUCCCCGUUGAGGAGUCCACUAAGGACGGGUCUCUUUCAACCCUUUCCCUCUCUCCACCGAUCACUCAAGAUCGGCGAGCUCUUCUUCUUCUUCUCAAGGAUCACUUAAGACCCUGCAAGGACCACCACACUCUUUGGUGUCUCUUGCUAGCUUUUACAAGUCUCCACAACAUUGGAGGAAGUUCAAUGGGAGUCAAAACUCCACGCGCAAAUGAACACAAAGAUGUAGCACACACUAUCUCUCAAUGAAUCUCACAAGGCACUAGUGCUAAAUUCAAAUGAGUAGCUCUCUCUUGCUUGCUUUCUCUUUUGUGGCACUUGUGUUGGUUGUAGUGGUCUAAAUCUUGUGUAUAGGAUGGAUCAAUGAAUAUAUGUGGUUGGGAGGGCUUGAGUAUGUCAACCAGAUGACUUGGAAUGUUGCUUGGGCUCCCACACCUUGAAGUGGCCGGUUGGGGUGGUAUUUAUAGCCACCAACCAAAAUCUAGUCGUUGGUAAAGUCUACUAGCGAUAGGCGCACCGGACAGUCCGGUGCGCCACCGGACAGUGUCCGAUACGUCGCCACAUCAUCCUGCCAUUAGGGCUUGGAGCUGGUCGACCGUUGGAGGCUCUGUCCUCAUGUGGCACCGGACAGUCCGGUGUCACACCGGACAGUCCGGUGCCCCUUUGACCGCUGCUCUGACUUCUGCGGCGGUACUGUUCAUCCGUCAGAGUCGACCGUUGUGCGCAGAUAGUCGUUGCUCCGCUGGUGCAUCAGACAGUCCGGUGCGCCACCGGACACUGUUCGGUGCUACACCGGACAGUCCGGUGAAUUAUAGCGGAGCUACGCCUGGGAAACCCAAAGGUGAAGAGUUUGAGCUGAUUCACCCUGGUGCACCGGACACUGUCCGAUGGCACACCGGACUGUCCGGUGCGCCACACUAGGGCAGCCUUUGGUUUCCUUUUUGCUCCUUUCUUUUGAGACCUAACUUGUUCUUUUGAUUGGUUUGUGUUGAACCUUUGGCACCUGUAGAAUGUAUAAUCUUGAACAAACUAGUUAGUCCAAUUAUUUGUGUUGGGCAAUUCAACCACCAAAAUCAAUUAGGAAAAGGUUUGACCAUAUUUCCCUUUCAUUUUGUUUUGUCAUUAAUCACCAGAACCCUUAGUCAGGGUUGAUUGCACUUACAUUGUACACAUCAGGAACAACCUGGUAGGGGUCCGGUCCCGUAAACCUUGUCUGAUCACUAGCGGUUCAUAGUCCGGCGAGGUUGCUCGUAUAAACCUGGUCUGUAGAGCCCUCUGUGGUCCACCACAGUAAGAUAUGAUCUUAUAAACCCAGACCUCCUCAGGAUCUCUAUGCAAGGUAUCGGGCAUCCAAAAAAGAGGAACGGUUUUGCUCUCAGUUCAACUCCAUGUACAUAGGAUCCAUUAUCAUAUCCUCGGCCAAGGUACAUUUUAUCUUUGUUCCUCCCUCUCUAGAUUCUUAUCUUCGUUGUUAUCAUGAAAUAUAGAUUAUGCAACCAGUUUUGCUGCUCAGUUUAUAUCCCCACUUAAUACUGAACAAGGGCACAGGUUGACUGGUACCUAGUCUAAAGGAAAAGUCCACAUUCUCGCGGGUGGUCCGGAGCUAGGUAGCCACUUAGCCUGGUCCCGUAUCGUAAGCCUACACCUUCCACCACUCUAGAAUAGUUGACUUAGUACUUUACGGACCAGGUACCUAAAAAGCAUACACCUCGUUCAAAAUUAAGGGACGCAUCCCAUUAACUCUGUCUAGCAAAAAAAUUGGCUACAUAAUUUGCUGGAAUGAGUACGGUAAAGCUAGGAUCUCGAGGGCACAACUACUAAUCACUACUCCUGAGCCACUCGUGGAAUACCAUAUGCUCCCAAGCACUAUUUCUAAAUCAUACUCGGGAGUAUCUCUCUGGACUAAAAGAUGACCUCCCAUGUCUAGGACGGCCUCCAGGGAGCCUUAGCGGUUGAGGGCCAGGAAGGAGAAACUUUUGGCUAUCUAGAGACUAGGUAAGCUCGAGGGUGAAAGUCGCCUAGAGGGGGGCAAAUAGGCAAAUCUGAAAUUUAUAAACUUUAAGCACAACUACAAGCUGGGGUUAGCGUUAGAAAUAUAAUCGAGUCCGAAAAGGAGGGCGAAAAACAAAUCACAAGAAAAUAGCGAGAGUGACACGAUGAUUUGUUUUACCGAGGUUCGGUUCUUGCAAACCUACUCCACGUUGAGGUGGUCACAAAGACCGGGUCUUUCAACCCUUUCCCUCUCUCAAACGGUCACUUAGACCGAGUGAGCUUCUCUUCUCAAUCAAUUGGGACACUUAGCCCCAUAAGGACCACCACACAAUUGGUGUCUCUUGCUUUGAUUACAAAGAUCUUAGGAACAAGAAAUGGGGAAGAAGAAAAGCAAUCCAAGCGCAAGAGCUCAAAAGAACACGGCAAAACUCUCUCUUCUAGUCACUAUUACUUUGAGUGGAAUUGGGACUUAGAGAGAUUUUGAUUCACUCUAUUUGUGUCUUGUAUUGAAUGCACUAGCUCUUGUAUUGAAUGUGUUGGCUGAAAACUUGGAUGCCUUGAAGUGUGGUGGUUGGGGGGUAUUUAUAGCCCCAACCACCAAAGUGACCGUUGGGGAGGCUGUCUGUCGAUGGGCGCAUCGGACAGUCCGGUGCGCCAGCCACGUCACCCAACCGUUAGGGUUCGACCGUUGGAGCUCUGACAAGUGGAGCCACUGGACAGUCCGAUGGUGCACCGGACAGGUACUGUUCACUAUCCGGUGCGCCUUCUAGCGCCUGCUCUGACUCUGCGCGCGCAAUCCGUGCACUGUAGCGUUGUCAGCCGACCGUUGAACUCGACCAUUGCGCUGGCGACCGUUGCUCCGCUGGCACACCGGACAGUCCGGUGAAUUAUAGCGGAGAGGCAAUUUCAGAAACCUGAAGGUGGCAAGUUCGGAGUUGAUCUCCCUGGUGCACCGGCCAGUCCGGUGCGCCAGACUAGGGCAACCUUCGGUUGUCUUUUGCUCCUUUCUUUUAAACCCUUUCUUGGACUUUUUAUUGGUUUGUGUGGAACCUUUGGCACCUGUAGAACUUAUAAUCUAGAGCAAACUAGUUAGUCCAAUUAUUUAUGUUGAACAAUUCAACCACCAAAAUCAAUUAGGAAAAGGUUUGACCCUAUUUCCCUUUCAAUCUCCCCCUUUUUGGUGACUGAUGCCAACACAAACCAAAGCAAAUAUAUAAGUGCAGAAUUGAACUAGUUUGCAUAAGGUAAGUGCAAAUGUUGCUUGGAAUUAAACCAAUUUACAUUUUCAUAAGAUGUGCAUGGAUUGCUUUCUUCAUUUUAACAUUUUGGACCAUACUUGCACCACUUGUUUUGUUUUUGCAAAUGUUUUUGUAAAUUCUUUUCAAAGUCUUUUUGCAAAUAGUCAAAGAUAUAUGUAUAAGAUUUUGAGAAGCAUUUUCUAGAUUUGAAAUUUUCUCCCCCUGUUUCAAAUGCUUUUCCUUUGACUUCAACAAAACUCCCCCUUAAUGAAAUUCUCCUCUUCGUGUUCAAGAGGGUUUUCCAAAUUGAAAGAAGAUCAAAUAUUUUAGAUACCAAUUGAGAUAGAAUUUCUUUCAAAAGAUACCAAUUUUUGAAAUAUCACAAAUACAAUACCAAUUGAAAACAACAUUUGAAACUUUUGAAAUUGGCAUGGCGUGGUGGUGCGGUCCUUUUGCUUUGGGCUAAUACUCUCCCCCCUUUGGCAUAAAUCGCCAAAAACGGAGUCAUUAGAGCCCUUUUAAAAUUUCUCCCUCUGUAGUAAACAAUAUAUGAGUGAAGGAUUAUACCAAUGUGGAGAGUGAUGCAGAGUGACGGCGAAGGAGAAGUAAUACAAUGGAGUGGAGUGGAAGCCUUGUCUUCGCCGAAGACUCCAUUUCCCUUUCAAUCUAUGACUUAGCAUGAAAUACACUUGAAAACCGCAUUAGUCAUAGCAAAUGAAAGGGAGAUGAUCAAAGGUACAUAAAUGAGCUAUGUGUGCAAGCUAUCAAUCAAAAUUCCUAGAAUAAAAAAUGUUUAGCUCAUGCCUAAGUUUGGUAAAGGUUUUCUCAUCUAAUGGCUUGGUGAAGAUAUCAGCUAAUUGUUCUUUGGUGCUUACAUAGGCUAUCUCGAUAUCCCCCCUUUGUUGGUGAUCCCUCAAAAAGUGAUACCGAAUGGCUAUGUGCUUAGUGCGGCUGUGCUCAACGGGAUUAUCCGCCAUGUGGAUAGCACUCUCAUUAUCACAUAGGAGAGGAACUUUGGUUAAUUUGUAACCAUAUUCCCUAAGGGUUUGCCUCAACCAAUUCAAUUGCGCGCAACAAUGGCCUGCGACAAUGUACUCGGCUUCGGUGGUUGAAAGAGCUACUGAGUUUUGCUUCUUUGAAGCCCAAGACACCAAGGAUCUUCCCAAGAACUGACAAGUCCCCGAUGUGCUCUUUCUAUCAAUUUUACACCCUGCCCAAUCAGCAUCUGAAUAACCUAUUAAAUCAAAAGUAGAUCCCUUGGGGUAUCAAAGACCAAACUUAGGUGUAUGAACUAAAUAUCUCAAGAUUCGUUUCACGGCCCUAAGGUGAACUACCUUAGGAUCGGCUUGGAAUCUUGCACACAUGAAUACGGAAAGCAUAAUAUGCGGUCGAGAUGCACAUAAAUAGAGUAAAGAUCCUAUCAUCGACCGAUAUACCUUUUGAUCUAUGGAUUUACCUCCCCCGUCGAGGUCGAGAUGCCCAUUGGUUCCCAUGGGUGUCUUGAUGGGCUUGGCAUCCUUCAUUCCAAACUUGGUGAGAAUGUCUUGAGUGUACUUCGUUUGGCUAAUGAAGGUGCCCUCUUAGAGUUGCUUCACUUGAAAUCCUAAGAAAUACUUCAACUCCCCCAUCAUGGACAUCUCGAAUUUUUGAAUCAUGAUCCUACUAAACUCUUCACAAGUAGAUUUGUUAGUAGACCCAAAUAUAAUAUCAUCAACCUAAAUUUGGCAUGCAAACAAAUCAUUUGCAAUAGUUUUAGUAAAGAGUGUAGGAUCGACUUUUUCGACUUUGAAGCCAUUAGCGAUAAGGAAAUCUCUUAGGCAUUCAUACCAUGCUCUUGGGGCUUGCUUAAGCCCAUAAAGCGCCUUAGAGAGUUUAUAUAUAUGGUUAGGGUACUCACUAUCUUCAAAGCCGGGAGGUUGCUCAACAUAGACCUCCUCCUUGAUUGGUCCAUUGAGGAAGGCACUUUUCACGUCCAUUUGAUAAAGCUUAAAGCCAUGAUAAGUAGCAUAGGCAAGUAAUAUACGAAUUGACUCAAGCCUAGCUACGGGUGCAUAGGUUUCACCGAAAUCCAAACCUUCGACUUGUGAAUAUCCCUUAGCCACAAGUCGGGAUUUGUUCCUUGUCACCACACCAUGCUCAUCUUGCUUGUUGCGGAAGACCCACUUGAUUCCUACAACAUUUUGGUUAGGACGUGGAACAAGAUGCCAUACCUCAUUCCUCGUGAAGUUGUUGAGUUCCUCUUGCAUUGCCAGCACCCAAUCUGAAUCCCUUAAUGUGUCUUCCACCCUGUAUGGCUCAAUAGAAGACACAAAGGAGUAAUGUUCACAAAAAUUGGCGACACGAGAUCGAGUGGUUACCCCUUAUGAAUAUCGCCGAGGAUGGAGUUCACAGGGUGAUCUCGUUGUAUCGCUUGGUGGACUCUUGGGUGUGGCGGUCUUGGACCCUGAUCAUCUUCCUUGUCUUGAUCAUUGGCAUCUCCACCUUGAUUAUUGUCCUCCUCUUGAGGUGGCUCAUCUUCUUGAUCCUCAUCUUGAGUUGGUGGAGAUGCUUGCAUGGAAGAUGAAGGUUGAUCUUGUGCUUGUGGAGGCUCUUCGGAUUCUUUAGGACACACAUCCCCAAUGGACAUGUUCCUUAGCGCGACGCAUGGAGCCUCUUCAUCAUCUAGCUCAUCAAGAUCAACUUGCUCUACUUGAGAGCCGUUAGUCUCAUCAAACACAAUGUCACAAGAAACUUCAACUAGUCCAGUGGACUUGUUAAAGACUCUAUAUGCCCUUGUGUUUGAGUCAUAACCAAGUAAAAAGCCUUCUACAGCCAUAGGAACAAAUUUAGAUUUUCUACCUCUUUUAACAAGAAUAAAACAUUUGCUACCAAAGACUCUAAAAUAUGAAACAUUGGGCUUUUUACCGGUGAGGAGUUCAUAGGAUGUCUUCUUGAGGAUUCGGUGAAGGUAGAGACGGUUGAUGGCGUAGCAAGCGGUGUUGAUUGCUUCCGCCCAAAACCGGUCCGAAGUCUUGUACUCAUCAAGCAUGGUCCUCGCUAUGUCAAGUAGAGUUCUAUUCUUUCUCUCCACUACACCAUUUUGUUGUGGCGUGUAGGGAGAAGAGAACUCAUGCUUGAUGCCCUCGUCCUCAAGAAAGCCUUCAAUUUGAGAGUUCUUGAACUCCGUCCCAUUGUCGCUUCUAAUCUUUUUGAUACUUGAGUCGAACUCAUUUUGAGCCCAUCUCAAGAAUUCCUUUAAGGUCUCUUGGGUUUGAGAUUUAUCCUGCAAAAAGAACACCCAAGUGAAGCGAGAAUAAUCAUCCACAAUAACUAGAUAGUACUUACUCCCGCCGAUGCUUAUGUAAGCUAUCGGGCCGAAUAGGUCCAUGUGGAGUAGCUCAAGUGGUCUGUCGGUCGUCAUGAUGUUCUUGUGUGGAUGAUGAGCGCCAACUUGCUUCCCUGCUUGACAUGCGCUACAAACCCUAUCUUUAUCAAAAUGAACAUUUGUUAGUCCUAAAAUGUGCUCUCCCUUUAGAAGCUUGUGAAGAUUCUUCAUCCCAACGUGGGCUAGUCGGCGAUGCCAGAGCCAACCCAUAUUAGUCUUAGCAAUUAAGCAAGUAUCGAGUUCAGCUCUAUUGAAAUCAACUAAGUAUAGCUGACCCUCGAGUACUCCCUUAAAUGCUAUUGAAUCAUCACUUCUUCUAAAGACAGUAACACCUAUAUCCGUAAAAAGACAGUUGUAGCCCAUUUUGUAUAAUUGAGAAACAGAAAGCAAGUUGUAAUCUAAAGAAUCUACAAGAAAACAUUGGAAAUAGAAUGGUCAGGUGAUAUAGCAAUUUUACCAAGUCCUUUGACCAAACCUUGAUUUCCAUCCCCGAAUGUGAUAGCUCGUUGGGAACAUGGUUUUUCUCAUAGGAGGAGAACAUCCUUUUCUCCCUAGUCAUGUGGUUUGUGCACUCGCUAUCAAUGAUCCAACUUGAGCCCCCGGAUGCAUAAACCUACAAAAACAAGUUUAGGCCUUGUUCUUAGGUAUCCGAACGGUCUUGGGUCCUUUGAUAUUAGAAACAAGCACCUUGGGUACCCAAAGACAAGUCUUGGAGCCCUUGUGUUUGCCCCCAACAUAUUUGGUAACUACUUUGCCUGAUUUGUUAGUUAAAACAUAUGAAGCAUCAAAAGUCUUAAAUGAAAUGUUAUGUUCAUUUGAUGCAAUAGGAGAUUUCUUUUUAGGCAAUUUAACAUGGGUUGAUUGCCUAGAGCUAGAUGCCUCACUCUUAUACACAAAAGCAUGAUGAGAGCCAGAGUGAGACUUCCUAGAAUGAAUUCUCCUAAUUUUGUGUUCGGGAUAACCAGCAGGAUAUAAAAUGUAACCCUCGUUAUCCUGAACCAUGGGAGCUUUUCCCUUGACAAAGUUAGAUAAUUUCUUAGGGGCAUUAAGCUUGACAUUGUCUCCCUGUUGGAAACCAAUGCCAUCCUUAAUCCCGGGGCGUCUCCCAUUAUAGAGCAUGCUUCUAGCAAAUUUAAAUUUUUCAUUUUCUAAGUCAUGCUCAUUAAUUGUAGCACUAAGUUGAGCUAUGUGAUCAUUUUGUUGUUUAAUUAAGGCUAGGUGAUCACGGAUAGCAUCAACAUUAAUAUCUCUACAUCUAGUACAAAAAGUAACAUGCUCAAUGGUAGAUGUAGAGGGUUUGCAAACUUUUAAUUUAUAGAUCUUAGCAUGUAAAAUAGCAUUCUUAUUCUUAAGAUUGGAAAUGGAAAUAUUGCAAACAUUUAAAUCUUUAGCCUUAGCAAUUAAUUUUUCAUUUUCAAUUUUAAGGCUAGAGAGUGAUGCAUUCAACUUAUCAAUCUUAGUAAUUAAACUAGCAUUAUCAUUUCUAAGACUAACCAUGGAAUCAUCACAAACAUCAAACUUCUCAACCUUAGAAAUUAAUUUUGCAUUUUCACAUCUAAGGUUGGAAAUAGUGUCAUGGCAAGUGCUUAGCUCACUAGUUAAUUUUUACAUUUUUUCUACUUCCUGAGCAUAAGCAUUUUUAACCUUAACAUGCUUCUUGUUUUCUUUAAUAAGGAAGUCCUCUUGGCUAUCCAAGAGUUCAUCCUUCUCAUGAAUAGCACCUAUCAAUUCAUUUAAUUUUUCCUUUUGUUGCAUGUUUAGGUUGGCAAAAAGGGCAAGCAAAUUGUCUUCAUCAUCACUAGAGUUUUCCUCAUCACUAGAUGUUGCAUAUUUAGUGGAGGCUCUAGAUUUUACAUUCUUUUUGCCGUCCUUUGCCAUGAGGCACUUGUGGCCGACGUUGGGGAAGAGGAGACCCUUGUUGAUGGCGAUGUUGGCGGCGUCCUCGUCAGAGGAGGAGUCAGUGGAGCUCUCAUCAGAGUCCCACUCUCGACAUACGUGAGCAUCGCCACCCUUCUUCUUGUAGUAUCUCUUCUUUUCUUUCCUCUUUCCCUUCUUGUCGUCGCCCCUGUCACUGUCACUAGAAAUAGGACAUUUUGCUAUAAAGUGACCGGGCUUACCACACUUGUAGCAAACUUUCUUGGAGCGGGGCUUGUAAUCUUUCCCCCUCCUUUGCUUGAGGAUUUGGUGGAAGCUCUUGAUGAUGAGCGCCAUCUCCUCGUUGUCGAGCUUAGAGGCGUCGAUGGGGAGUCUACUUGGUGUAGACUCUUCUUUCUUCUCCUCCAUCGCUUUGAAUGCGACGGGUUGCACCUCGGGUGUGGAGGUGGCGCCUCGCUCGAUGAUUUGUUUGGAGCCUUUGAUCAUCAACUCAAAGCUCACAAACUUUCUUAUCACUUCCUCAGGAGACAUUAGUUUAUAUCUAGGAUCACCAUGAAUUAAUUGAACUUGAGUAGGGUUAAGAAAAACGAGUGAUCUAAGAAUAACCUUGACCAUUUCAUGGUCAUCCCAUUUGGUGCUCCCGAGGUUGCGCACUUGGUUCACCAAGGUUUUGAGCCGGUUAUACAUGGCGUGUGGCUCCUCUCCUUGGUUGAGCAUAAAUCGACCGAGCUCCCCCUCGAUUGUUUCCCGCUUGGUGAUCUUGGUCACCUUAUCUCCUUCGUGCGCGGUCUUGAGCAAGUCCCAAAUCUCUUUGGCACUCUUCAACCCUUGCACCUUAUUAUACUCCUCUCGACUUAGAGAGGCGAGGAGUAUAGUAGUGUCUUGGGAGUUGAAGUGCUGGAUUUGGGCUACCUCGUCCGAGUCAUAGCCUUCAUCCCCCACGGAUGGUUCCUGCGCACCAAACUCAACAAUGUCCCAAAUGCUAGCGUGGAGUGAGGUUAGAUGGUGCCUCAUUUUAUCACUCCACAUGCAUUAGUCUUCACCGUCAAAAACCAGUGGUUUGCCUAGUGGGACGGAAAGUAAAAGAGUGCGUUUGGAAAUGCGUGGAUAGCGUAAGGGAAUCUUACUAAACUUCUUGCGCUCAUGGCGCUUAGAAGUGACGGACGGCCUGUCGGAGCCGGAGGUGGAAGGCGACGAAGAAUCGGUCUCAUAGUAGACCACUUUAUUCAUUUUCUUCUUCUUGUCGCCACUCUAGUGUGACUUGAUGCGGGAAGGUGAUUCCUCCCUCUUCUUGUUGCCGGACUCCCCCGAUGGAGCUUUCCCGUGGCUUGUAGCGGGCUUCUCGCCGGUCACCAUCUCCUUCUUGGCGUGAGUUCCCGACAUCACUUCGAGCGGUUAGGCUCUAAUGAAGUACCAGGCUCUGAUACCAAUUGAAAGUCGCCUAGAGGGGGUGAAUAGGCAAAUCUGAAAUUUAUAAACUUUAAGCACAACUACAAGCCGGGGUUAGCGUUAGAAAUAUAAUCGAGUCCAAAAAGGAGGGCGAAAAACAAAUCACAAGCAAAUAGCAAGAGUGACACAAUGAUUUGUUUUACCGAGGUUCGGUUCUUGCAAACCUACUCCCCGUUGAGGUGGUCACAAAGACCAGGUCUCUUUCAACCCUUUCCCUCUCUCAAACGGUCACUCAGACCGAGUGAGCUUCUCUUCUCAAUCAAUUGGGACACUUAGUCCCCACAAGGACCACCACACAAUUGGUGUCUCUUGCUUUGAUUGCAAAGAUCUUAGGAAUAAGAAAUGGGGAAGAAGAAAAGCGAUCCAAGCGUAAGAGCUCAAAAGAACACGACAAAACUCUCUCUUCUAGUCACUAUUGCUUUGAGUGGAAUUGGGACUUGGAGAGAUUUUGAUUCACUCUAUUUGUGUCUUGUAUUGAAUGCACUAGCUCUUGUAUUGAAUGUGUUGGCUGAAAACUUGGAUGCCUUGAAGUGUGGUGGUUGGGGGGUAUUUAUAACCCCAACCACCAAAGUGGUUGUUGGGGAGGCUGUCUGUCGACGGGCGCACCGAACAGUCCAGUGCGCCAGCCACGUCACCCAACCGUUAGGGUUCGACCGUUGGAGCUCUGACAAGUGGGGCCACCGAACAGUCCGGUGGUGCACCGGACAGGUACUGUUCACUGUCCGGUGCGCCUUCUGGCGCCUGCUCUGACUCUGCGCGCGCAGUCCGCGCACUGUAGCAUUGUUAGCCGACCAUUGAACUCAACCGUUGCGUUGGCGACUGUUGCUCCGCUGGCACACCGGACAGUCCGGUGAAUUAUAGCGGAGAGGCAAUUUCAGAAACCCGAAGGUGGCAAGUUCGGAGUUGAUCACCCUGGUGCACCGGAUAGUCCGGUGCGCCAGACCAGGGCAGCCUUUGGUUGUCUUUUGCUCCUUUCUUUUAAACCCUUUCUUGGACUUUUUAUUGGUUUGUGUUGAACCUUUGGCACCUGUAGAACUUAUAAUCUAGAGCAAACUAGUUAGUCCAAUUAUUUGUGUUGGGCAAUUCAACCACCAAAAUCAAUUAGGAAAAGGUUUGACCCUAUUUCCCUUUCAAAUAGGCGAAACCUGAAUUUUGCAAACUUUAAACACACACUACACUCGGGAUUAGCGUUAGAAAUAAUUCGGAGUACGGAAGAUAGUUCUCCUUGCUAAGAGUUAUUCAAUUAAUGCGAAUGACUUUGGAGCCAACUCAAAUCAAUAUGAGCAAGGGAACUUUAGAGAGAGGAAAGGAGGAGAAACAAAUUGAGUAGAGAUCAACACAAAUGAACACAGUGAUUUGUUUACCGAGGUUCGGUUUCAAAGAACGUUGUCCCUGUUGAGGAGGUCACAAAGGCCAGGUCUAUCCCAACCCUUUCCCUCUCUCAAUCGGUCACACAGACCGGUCGAGUGCUUCUCCUUAAUCACUUGGGUCACUAAGAUGCGGGUGCGGCGGACCGACGAGGCAAAGCUCCGGCGAGCGCAAAUUCACUAUGGCGAGGCAGAAUCGGGGGCAAACAGAGCAUGGGGAAAGGUUCCUCACCUUGGGACGACGCUCGGGGAGGCUUGGCGCGACGUCUGGAGCUCCGGGAAAACGGCACGGCGGGCGCGGGUCACCGGCGAACUCGGGCGGUGGCGACUGAGCGCGAGAGGGGCUGGGAGUGAGUGAAUGAGACAGGAGAGAGAGAGAGAGAGCAGGUGCGCGUGGGGCUCAAAAGGAGCUGGAGGAACGUGGGGCACGACGUGGUCGGGCUUCUCGUCGUGCGUGUGCGAGCGGGGUCAUCGGCGGUUGCGGGGAGGAUGGAGCUGACAGGGCGGGCCCACGGCACAGAGGCACAGACGCGAGGAGGGAAACGACACGACGCUCACGGGUCGGGCCCGCAGCGCAGAGAGAGGGAGCGCACGCGCGGCUGAGUGGAGCCGAUAGGCUGGCCCCACCGAGCAGAGGGAGAGGGGGCGGUCGGGCGCGCGUGCGCGAGCUAGGCCUAAUGGACUGAAAGGCUGAGGGAGAGGGGAGGCGGGAGAGGGGAGGCUGGGCUGCUUUGGCCUUUUCUUUUAAUUUUGAAAUUUCCAAUACCUUUUCUUUUUAUUUUCUCUAUUGGAUUCAAAUCCAACCAAACCACAAAUUCAAAAUUUGGAUAUUUCAAGCAUAUGUAUCAAACAAAAAGUAAAGUCGAAGCUCAACAUGAUGCAACAUUUCAUGUCUCCCAUAGGGUUUCAUCUACUAAAGUAUUAAUACAUCUCCAAAAUAAAUAAACAAUACUCUAUUAAAAGGAAGACAAGAGAAAUCUAUAGAGAUAAGAAAAGAGGUAACACCUGAAUUUGGUAGAUAUUAUAGAAGAAAUUUUAUACCUCAAAUUCAAGGUGUUACAAGAACUGAAACGCACCUAACAGUCCGCUCCAUUCCCGCUCAACCAGUAUUGCCUACACCUCCAUUCCUGACACGCGGACACCGACGUGUGGAGGUCGCUCCCGUCGCCUUCUCUUUGCCCGUGGGAAAGUUGCCCGACCUCAUUGCCGGGAGUAUAGAUGUCCAUCCGGGCCGCCCGGCACGGACCCGGCCCGAGCCCGGUUAGGCACGGCACGAACAGGGUCGUGCCUGGCCCGGCACGCUGUUGACUCGGGCCGUGCCGGUUCGGGUCACGGGCCAGGACAUGUGUCCAAGCACGGCCCAGAGAGGCCAAAAACGUGCCGGGUUGGCCCGAAAGCCUCUGGGCCAUUCCGGGCCGUGCCCUCCACUGGCCCGAAAAAUCACAGAAAUACAAAAAAUCUGGAAACACAAGCACUAAAAUUCUAAAAUUCUAAAUACUAAAACACAAGCACACAUAAAAUAUGGAAACAAAUAAUUAUGGAGCUGUGUGCAAUGGCUGCCUCAUUAAAAACCUUCUUAGGCAAAAACUCACACCUCGUGAGAAAAAAGCCUAAGAAGGAAAAAAGAGUACAGCCACAGCUCCUAAGCCCUAAGGCAUAAGUUCAUACAGAUACAGUACAGUCCAUGAGUUCAUUACAAGAAUAAGCCAUCAGGCAUCAGGCAAACAACUAAGCUAGCCAACCACCACUCCACCAGUCCACCACCAACUACUGGUUGUGUUCUUCUGGAUCAUCAAGGUACAAGUUCUCAUGUUCAGCUUCAAGUUCCCUUGUCUCUUCCUCCACAGUAUGCUGCAGGUGAGCAUCAGCAAGCUCCCAGUCUUUUAUGCAAGACAAAACCUCGACCAUAUCUGGAGCCAGGCGACGUCGACGCUCUUCAAUCACCCUGCCAGCAAGACUAAAGGUAGACUCUGAAGAUAUAGUAGAAGCUGGGACUGUCAAUACAUCUUUAGCAAGUAGAGCAAGAAUAGGAUAAGUGAGCUUAUGCUGAUGCCACCAAGAUAGGACAUUGAAGUCCUCAUCAAACUCAGUAAUAGUAUCACUAUCUAAGUAAGAUGCCAGCUCAGAAGUGGAUGCAGCAGUAGAGAUAGAACUAGAACCUGGUCUCCUUCCCACAGAAAGCUCACCAUCAUAGUCAUCAUCACCAUAGAUUUCAUCCCAUGCCAUUUUUUUCUUACCAGAACCAAGAGAUGUUGGGUGUUGAUUAGCACGCAGGCGUGUGUCACCAAAUUUAGCUUCAUACAACUGAAAUAUCUUGGAUAGUUUAGAUCUAACUUCAAUUGGAACAUUAGAGUAAUUUGUACCAGUUAAGCUAGCUAACCUGACAAGGAGUUUGUUAAAACCCCUCAUCUUAGCCCUUGGGUCUAAAAUAAAUGCAACAGCAUAUAGAAUAGGAAUAUCCCUCCAAUAUUUCAAAAAUUUAUCUUUCAUAGGAACAACAGCAGCCCUAAGAAGUCUAUCAUUUUCAAAUGCAUUUAGAUGUCUGGCUAUCCUUAGAAUAUGGUGUAGCAUCAAAGUAGCAGUAGGGUAGUACACACCAGACAAUGCAACUGUGGAUUCAUAAAAUAAUUCUAGGAAAGAAAGAACUUUUUCAGCAAUUGUCCAAUGAUCAUCAGUGAGUAAAGGAGUACCAUCAGAAUGCAAAGGAUACUGAGUUUUGAUAAAAACAGAAAAGCUGGACUUGUAUGGUACUAGGUGUUUAAGCAUUAAGUAUGUAGAAUUCCAUCUAACAUCCAUGUCAACACCAAACUUACGAGGACGAAUAGCCAUACUCAUACAAUAGCUUUUAUAUGCAGCUAUUCGUUGAUUUGAAGCAUUUAAAAAGGUUAUAGCAGUUCUAAAGUCAUCAAUAUAAGCUUUCAAAUGUUGAAGACCAGCUUUAACAAUUAAAUUAAUAACAUGACAGGAACAUCUUUGAUGCAAGAACAUAGUGCACAAGUCAUCAUCAGUAGGUGUAAAUGAAUCAUCAUCAUCAUCAGUCACAACAGGAGCAGGCACACCAAGGUAACCAGACAAGAAAGGUCUCAGAUAUUUCAUGGCAGUAUUAUUUGAUGAAGCAUUAUCUAAGGUGAUUGCAAAUACUUUAUCAGUUAAAGCAUAAUCAUCUAUCAUAGUAGCAACCAGAUUAGCAAUACUAACACCACUAUGUUUACCAUCAAUUAACCUUAGACCAAGCAACCUUUUUUCUAUUUCCCAGUGAGAAUUCACAAAAUGAGCAACUACACUUAAAUAGUCUUCCUUAGCCUUGCCAGCCCAAAUAUCAGAGGUUAGACAAACAGAUGUAACAUCAGUUUUCAAAGUACCAAUUAAGUUUACCUUACGCUCAUUAUAUAACUUAAUCAUGUCCCUAGCAGUAGUUUGCCUAGAAACAUGCACAAAUCUAGGGUUAUGUGCACGAGUGAUGUAUUCUUGAAAUGCAUCAGUGGAGCCAUGCCAUAGAGGUAGAUCAUCUCUAGCUAUCAAACGACAAAGUUCAUUCCUUGCAACAGAAGGACAGUACUCCCAACGCUGCAAAGAACCAUCGGGGUUGUACUUAAGCACAGUUUGGGUUUGGCCAGAGCGAUCGUGGGCCUUCUUAGCACUACAAUUGUGUCUAAGCAAGUGACCAGUACCAGAAGAGGAUCUAGCACUUAAUGUCUCAUGACAGAACUUGCAUCGAGCAGCAUACCUUACACGCUUACCAUUUACCAGAUUGGUUAACUCGUCGAAAUUGUUCCAAACUUUGGAUCUCUUCCUUGAGCCGCCACCAGCAGAGGCAGUGGUAGAUGCUGGUGGGCUCGUGGAGUCCGUAGCAGUGCCAGUGCCUGUUCUAGAGGCGACGAAAUCCUCGAGGUCGACUGGAUCUAAAUGAGUGACACCAACACCCAAUAAGGCUUGUCUAGCAUCCAUCGCCUCAUUGUGGUCCUCAAGUUGUCGCUCCGCCUCCUCAUCCUCUGCAGCCGGGUCAAGAUCCAUAGUAUUGAGACCUUGACCUCGACAACGAGGACGAGGAACACACCGGUCUCCGACUCUCGGCUCUCGGCUCUCGGCACCCGUCUCCGACUCCUCAACGACUGCACGGCACCCGAUUUAACCGAUACCUACGUUGAGGAAUACACCGGAAGAAUUAGGGUUAGGACUUAGGAGAAGGGCAUUAGGGUUAGGGAAAGGAGUAGGGCCCGAGGGACUCACCUUGUGCAGUCGGAGCACCGGAGACGACGGACGAUGGCCGAGAUCCGUGGAGCGAGGAACACCGGAGGGGAUUAGGGUUAGGGAGAGGACCGGGAGAGGAAGGUAAGGACAGAGAGGAAGUAUAGAUGUCCAAGCACGGCGCGGGCGACCGACGUGCAACUGAUUCCAAGCACAGGAGACACCGGCGGACGGCGGCGAACCGCAGAUCAGAGAGGGGAGAGGAGAUUAGGGUUCGGGCGGAGAGAGCAAGAGAGCGAGGCGAGGGCGAGAGAGCGAGGCGAGGGCGAGAGCGUAAAUGCGACUGGCGAGGCGAGGGCGACACUGAGGCUGUGUCCGUAAAUGCGGCGGCGGGGUGUGGCUGCUGGGCUGGGCCACUGGGGCGCGUCGCGCGCGGCCGGUUAACCUAACCGGGCCGCCGCGUGCCUCCCCCUCAGGCGGGCCGGGUCGGGCUAUACCCGACGGGCCGAUUUCUGUGGCCCAGCCCGACACGGCGAACGGGCCGGGCUAGCCCAGGCACGAUUGAAGCCGGGCCGUGCCGGUGCUGGGCCGGGCCACUUUCGUGCCGUGUCGUGGGCCGCCCGGUGGGCCCGGCCCAGAUGGACAUCUAUAGCCGGGAGCGGUGCCCUAGGUAAUCUGACUGGAUCAGGGAGAGCUGACCCGCACGGAUAGGCUUUCAAAUGGGUCAUAAAAAUUUCACGACGUCUAUUUCCACACAGGCUUCGCGCCCCUGGAAAACGCUAGUUCCCCGGGAAACGGGCUGCCAAACUUGCCCUAAGGAGAAGAAAUAAAACACCAUAUUCUUCGUUAUGUAUUGGUGUGGGAUAAUAUGGCACGCUAGAGAACGAUUUUCACUAUUAUAUUUUUUAAUCUAAACACUUUUAAAUAAAACUCAGAAAACUAUGUACAAAAGUAUCUUUAUCCAACACUAUAUAAAAAUAUGUUUUUAUAAGACGGCAAUUAAUAUGUCAUUACAAUUUUAUAUUAUUUAUUUUGCAUCUCAACAACCUCGAAUGAUAAAAUUCAAAACUAGAAAAUUAUAGAUCACAGCUAUACUUUUUACAUGAAGAGUAUCUUAAUUGGAGACCAUAUAAAAAGGGAUGAAUUUUCUAAGACAGUAAGCCCUGAUAGCUGCUAAAAGUUUAUAUUACUUCUUAGCAUUAUAACGAUAUCAAAUAAAAAAUAAAACUGAAAAGUUAGAAAAUCGUAUAUCUGAUCGAGAACUAGAAUCCCCCAGUGUCAUGGCCAAACAGUACUUCCACACCUACUAGAAAGGUGCGGUAAGGUUUUUCACGUGAAAAUUGUUGUCCAGCGUGACAGAUCAUAUCGACCGAUGUACCUAUGUCUACGUGAUUUUGCCAAAACUGUUAGAAAUAAAAAUAAAGAGUGGAUAAGUAAAAUUAUUCCCUACCGCAGACACCGCUGCUGGAUGCUUGGAUGGACGGUGGACUGGACUCGAAGGGAAACAUUGCCAAAAGAAAAUCUGCAGUUGAACUCUGUUGAUGCCAAAAGAAAAGGUGUGUGCUGUGUUCUGUCCACCAUGAUUAGCUUCUAACUAGAGAUAGACUCAAUACUAAUUAAUACUAAGAUAUCGUUUGGUUCACGAAAUGUAACAUAAAUGACAACGGUAAUAAUUCACACUCUAGUAUCAACGGUAACAAGUAUAAAUAGACCGGUAUUAGUUUAUAGGGUGGUAUCUAAUUACGAUUGAACUUAAACAAACAUAGUUUAACAUUAUCAGUUAUACAUUAUGUUACAAAUAUAUGAACUAUAAACAAGGCACUAGAUGAUUACAGUUGUUGUCACACCCGGCUUUAAAGGACAAAGCUGGAUGCAUCUCAUACAUGCGUCAAAGAAGACAACAUAUAUAAUAACAAAGUAUAUAAAGAUAAAUGUCAUAAUAAUCAGAGUAUUUAUUACAUAGCGGAAGUCUUACAAAAUAGAAGAUAAAUAUAAAAGAAUCUAAAAUCUAUCCUUGGCGCCAGAAAGUCAACUCGAAGACGCCACCUAUAUCAAAUCACACUCCUCGAUAAGUGACUCCUCUUGAACCUCAUAUUCUUCUCCUCUAGGGGUGAGACAGCAAGGGUGAGCUCACACAUGUUCAUUGCUCAACAAGUUGUGGGGAAUAAUGUGCAUAAACACACCAAAGGUGGGAGUUCAUGGGAUGUGUAAAGUUGAUCAACAAUGGGGGUUAAAGUUGAGCAUUGCUUUUAAUAAGUUGGUCAAAUUUUAUUAGCAGUUACUAAAUGUAAGUAAAUACCAAACCAUAAUAAUAAUAGUAGAACAAAAUUAAUAAAUAAUCCCAUGCAAUGCAAAUGACAAAUUGAAUUUAAGUUCCAUAAAUUAAUCAUGCGAGAGUCCUGAGCUGCUCAUGACCGUGAGCUUGGCUAGUAUACCAGUUUUAUACUCUGCAGAGGUUGUACCCUGUACCUAUAGGGUACAUUCGGGCCGCCCGGCCCAGCCCAAGCCCGAAAAGGCCCGUAUUGUUUAAAUUUCGGGCCGGCCCGACCCGUUUGAAUUUCGGGUCGUGCCGGGCCGGCCCAUGGGCCUAGCCCUUGGCCCACGGCCCGGCCCGUAAUUGCUUAAACGUGUCAGGCUUAUUUCGGGCGGCCCGAAAUUAUAAAAGCCCGAAAUUCAAUUUUUGGCCCGAAAUUCACAUUAGGCCCGAAAUUCAGUUUUUGGCCCAAAAUUCACAUUAGAGCCCUAAAUUCAGAAAAAUAAUAAAACAAAUAAAAGAUAAGACAAAUAAAUUUGAACAAAAUCAAACUUAAUAUUUGUAUUAAAGUUACCACAGCUAUGCAAUGACUACCUCGUUUAUAAAUCAUUUUGUUAGAAGGAAAAAGAGUAUAAUCAGCUCUAUACAAAGUUCGUAAGUUCAGUUUAUUGUCUAAUGUUCAUAACAAAAGUAAAAUUACAUCACACACUCUAAUUAAAAGAUAAAAAAAGAUCUAACUAGCAUUAUCUCUAGCUUUGUGUUUUUUAUCAAGUAUAUGUGUCGGCGUUUCGAACCCGGGGGGUCCCUGGACCGACGAGUAAAUUGUCGCCGCGUGCCCCAGCCUAGAUGGGUCGGCGUGAGACGGAGCGCGAAGGGGGGAGAGAAGCCAGAGGGAGACAGGCGUAAAAGGGGAAACCCACGGCCUUCGUGUUUGUCCCGCGCCCAGGUCGGGUGCGCUUGCAGUAGAGGGUUACAAGCGUCCGCGUGGGAGAGAGCGAGAGGCUUAUGCGCGUGCCGUCCCGUCCUUCCCCGCGCGGCCAACCCUCUGUAAGAGGGCCCUGGACCUCCCUUUUAUAGGCGUAAGGAGAGGGUCCAGGUGUACAAUGGGAGAUGUAGCAGUGUGCUAACGUGUCUAGCGGGGAGGAGCUAGUGUCCUGAGUACAUGCCGUCGUGGCAGCCGGAGAGGUUUUGGCACCCUGUUCGUGUGAUGUCGUGGCAGUCGGAGGAGCGCUGGAGCCUGGCGGAAGGACAGCUGUCGGGGCUGUCGAGUCCUUGCUGACGUCUCCUUGCUUCCGUAAGGGGGCUGAGAGCCGCCGCCGUCAUGGGGCAUGCGGGGCGCCAUCAUUACUUGUUUACCGGGGCGAGCCAGAUGGGACGUCGGUCUUGUUCCCCGUAGCCUGAGCUAGAUAGGGGUAGGGUAAUGAUGGCCCCUCCUGUGACGUGGUCGGUUCGAGCCCUGGGUUGGGCGAGGCGGAGGCUCCUCCGAGGUCGAGGUCGAGUCUGUCUUCCGAGGCCGAGGUCGAGUCCGAGCCCCUGGGUCGGGCGAGGCGGAGACCGUCGGCUGAGGCCAGGGCUGAGUCCGAGCCCUGGGGUCGGGCGAGGCGGAGUUCGUCGUCUUCCGGGGCUGAGCCCGAGUCCGAGCCCUGGGGUCGGGCGAGGCGGAGUUCGUCGUCUUCCGGGGCUGAGCCCGAGUCCGAGCCCUAGGGUCGGGCGAGGCGAAGUUCGUCGUCUUCCGGGGCUGAGCCCGAGUCCGAGCCCUGGGGUCGGCCGAGGCAGAGUUCUUCGUCUUCCGGGGCUGAGCCCGAGUUCGAGCCCUGGGGUCGGGCGAGGCGGAGUUCGUCGUCUUCCGGGGCUGAGCCCGAGUCCGAGCCCUGGGGUCGGGCGAGGCGGAGUUCGUCGUCUUCCGGGGCUGAGCCCGAGUCCGAGCCCUGGGGUCGGGCGAGGCGGAGUUCGUCGUCUUCCGGAGCUGAGCCCGAGUCCGAGCCCUGGGGUCGGGCGAGGCGGAGCUUCCUAUGGCGCUCGAGGCCGGACUUGGCUGCUGUCAGCCUCACUCUGUCGAGUGGCACAGCAGUCGGAGCGGCGCAGGCGGCACUAUCCUCUUAUCAGGCCGGUCAGUGGAGCGGCAAAGUGACUGUGGUCACUUCGGCUCUGUCGACUGAAGGGCGCGCGUCAGGAUAAGGUGCCAGGCCACCUUUGCAUUAAAUGCUCCUGCGAUACGGUCGGUCGGCGUGGCGACUUGGCCAAGGUUGCUUCUUAGCGAAGACUGGGCCUCGGGCGAACUGAAGGUGUGUCCGUUGCUGGAGGGGGUCCUCGGGCGAGACGUAAAUCCUCCGGGGUCGGCUGCCUUGCCCGAGGCUGGGCUCGGGCGAGGCGAGGUCGUGUCCCUUGAGUGGACCGAGCCUUGACUUAAUUGUACCCAUCAAGCCUUCGCAGCUUUGUGCUGAUGGGGGUUACCAGCUGAGAUUAGGAGUCUUGAGGGUACUCCUAAUUAUGGUCCCCGACAGUAGCCCCGAGCCUCGAAGGGAGUGUUAAUACUCGCUUGGAGGCUUUUGUCGCACUUUUUUGCAAGGGGACCGGCCUUUCUCGGUUGCGUUUUGUUCCAGCGGGUGCGCGCGAGCGCACCCGCCGGGUGUAGCCCCCGAGGCCUCGGAGGAGUGGUUUGACUCCUUCGAGGUCUUAAUGCGUUUCGUGAUGCUUCGGCCGGUGUGGUUGUUCCCUCAUGCGAGCUGGCCGUAGCCCGGGUGCACGGUCGGGUCCCAAGUUCUCGGGCUGGUAUGUUGACGCUGUCAACGGUUUGGCCGGAGCCGGGUUUGCGAGAGCAGCCCCCGAGCCCCUGCACAGAGCAAGAGGACGGUCAAGGACAGACUCGACUUUUUUACAUACGCCCCUGCGUCGCCUUUCCGCAAGGAGGAGGGGAGAGAAGCGCCAUGUUGCCCUUGGAGGGCGCCGAACAUGGUGUCUCCAGUGAGCUGCUGACGGGUAAUCCGAGUGGACGCCCGUGCCCCAUUUGUUAGAGGUCGGCUAGAGGCCCGGAGGCGCGCUCCAAAAGUACCUGCGGGUUAUCUGUCAGACCCGGUCCCCUUUUGAUGGGGUCUGAGGGCUCGAUGCCUCCCUCUGAUGGGAUUCCGUUACAAGAUCGUUCCCGCUGAUCUCGGAAAUGUCCUAGGGUACCUCGGGAGCGUAGCCCGAGCCUUGGUUAUGUAUCGAACGUACCCAGGGUCAUCCCUCGCUCUGCGUCUGAGGCGGCUGUGAACCCUUCGAGGGCCAGCCUACGAACCCCUGAUCAGUAGUGGGCGCGGAGCCCGAGUGGCCUGAGGCGGCCGUUGAACCCUUCCGAGGGGCCGGCCUUCGAACCUCUGACCAGUAGUGGGCGUUGAGCCCGAGCGCUCUGAGGCGGCUGUUGAACCCCUCCGAGGGGCCAACCUUCGAACCUCUGAUCAGUAGGGGGGCUCAGGGCCCGUUUCCUUUGCGGAGAAGGAUCCCUUUCGGGGUAUCCCCUUUCCCGGUCCCUGUUGUAAGAGAGAGAAAGAGGAAGAGGAAAAGGAUACGAAAAUCAAAUGACGUGGCAUACCUUUUUUGACGCGGUCAUUAUGGCGGAGGUGAAGCGUCGCCUGCUUCGCCCGCCAAAGGUGCCACCUGUCCCGCCGCAGAGUUAAUGCGACGGGACAAGUGGUUCGCGGGGCAGCCGUUGUGCGUGUGAGCCGUUCGAGGAACGGGUGUUUCGCUUUGAGUUUUGAAUCCCGCUGUGGGUUCGGGCGACGCGUUGAACGGGUCUCGCCUGGGUCUUUAUAUAUUCGGGAGAGGGACCGGUGACGGUUCUUUGCUCUGCUACUUGCCUCCUUCUUAGGUUUUCGCAACCCGAGGGAAUAGCCAGAGAAAAGGAAACCACCCACCCAGUCCUUUCCGCCGCCACCUCCUCUGCUUGGUGAUGGCCGACCGGGUGACCAUUGUUCCGCCGCGCGACCCGUGGCCUUUCUCCACCGUCACGGCGGAUGACCUGGAGGCCCUCGUCGCUGAGGGUUUACUUCGCCCUCUCUCCGAUGAGAGGCAGCCGGAGUGGAUGCCCCCCCCGAGCGGAGCCGCCCCGUCCCCGCCGCCGGGGUAUGUCGUGAGCUUCGUCUCCUUUCACGAACGGGGGUUUGGAGUGCCGGCAAGCCGUUUUAUGCGGACGAUUCUGCAUGUCUACAGGGUGGAGCUGCACAACCUCAGCCCUAACUCCAUCUCGCAAGCCGCCAUCUUCGCAGCGGUUUACGAAGGAUACUUGGGGAUUGACCCUCACUGGGACCUGUGGACUCAUUUCUUCUCCGCGGAGCUUUUUGCUUCGCCAACGGGGGAGAGAAGGGUCCACGCGGCAGUGCGGGCCGGUGGCUGCAUCCUCCAGCUGAGGCAGGCGCGGGCGCCGCAGUAUAUUCCCGUCGUCUUUGCGUCCUCGAACAAAGGGUGGCAGCGCCGGUGGUUUUAUCUCCGAAAUGACGACGAGAGGCUCCCGUCGUUUUCUCAGCGAGUGGUGACCGUCGCCGCCGAUGCCUGGCGCUACGGGACCCCGCACGACAGACAGAAGAAUCUCCAGCCCCUUCUGAAGGCCCUGGAGGUGUUGCGGAAAGGAGGGCUCACCGCUGCGGGAGUGGUUGCCGCCAUUCAUCGCCGGAGGGUGCUUCCCUUGACGGGGCGGCGGUUGCCGCUUUGGGAGAUGACGCCGGAGGCCGACUUGGAGGGUUUGCGAAUGUCCUCGGAUCCCUUUCCCGUCAACGACCUCUACGGGCGGGUAGCCGUCGCGUUGGGGAAACCGGACGCCGGCGCCCUUUCCCAGCCCUUGAUGCGUCCCGACCGCGGGUGUGUGUCCCUGGUGAGUGUCCGCUCCUUCUUUCUCCUUGCGUCGGAUUGCCCUUGGUUCUCACAGCCGAGACUUUCCGUCUGUCCCUAGGAGGUAGGGUGGCACAAGCCUUCCCGGCCACCGGUCCCGGAGGACGCGGUGGACCGAGCUACGCGGAGGGUUGCUGCGGAGAAGAGGAAGGAGAAAAAGGACACAAAGAAGGCUCGGGCCCGCGAGCGGAUGCGGGCUCGGGACGCCUUGGAAAGGCUCCGUCGUCGGCAGGAGAGGGAUGGGCUCCCGAGGGAGCCGUCGCCGGAAACGCCUGACGACGAUGACGAUGAAGACGAUGACGAAGACGACGAUAUGGCUGCUCGCCUUGGCCUCAGCCCGGAUCUGAGGCUGGGCCAGGAGUCGUCAAGCCAGCCCCCGAGCGGGCUGGCGCCGUCGGUUUCCGGGGCCGGGACGUCGGGGUCCCGGUCCGAAGAGCGGGGGCAGACCGAGGGGGUACUUGACCCCUCGGCUGGGGAAGUUGAGGUGACCCCGGGGAGUCAGGUCGAGCUGCCUGUUCCCCGAGAACCGUCGCCCGUGCCGGCUGCGCAGGAGGGCGAUCCUCAGGUCAUCGUGGCUGCGCCUGGGCAGUCCGUCUCUCGAGCGUCCAGGGCGCCCAAGGCGAGGAUGGUACCGAAGCUGGCAGCGAGGCAGACCUCGGCGGUACCUUCGGGGGUCGAGGUUCGAGAGACCUCCCCACAAGCACGAUUGAUCAUGGCCCGGAGUGGGUAAGUACCUUAGGAUGUCUUCGUCCUGGCUCCCCCUUUGUAUGUCCCGACCUUGACUUCCCUUUUUUCCUUAGCAAGCGGAGUCACGGUCCGACCGAUCUGGCUCCCCGGAAGGUCCUCAAGACGGCGUCGGCUUCCGCAGCUGGUGUCGCGCCGGGCCUCGCCGGCCAGCUGACCUCCUCGCAUGACGCCCCACAGCGGGGGGCUCAGGCGGCACCAGUUGCCGCGGAGCGAGCUCCCGAGGCUGGUUCUUCUGUCGAGGCGGCCAUCGCGCUGGGGGAGGCUGCUGGCGCGGCCGUGGCCUCGGGCCCACCAGACAUGCUGUCGGCGCUGGCGCCGGCCGCUGCCGAGGCCGUUGCCGUCCCGGCCGUGGAGCGACCCGUCGCCGUUGACGCUGAGAUGGCCGUGGCGUCACUACUUGGUGCCUCGGAGGAGGGGGGGCGCGGGACCACGACCCGUCCCGUCGAGCGGCAGCCUUGUCCCCGCGCGGCGCAGCUCCGAGGGGCGGCGCCAGUUGCUUCGGUUCCGGACCCGUGAGGCCUCGGAUCCCUUCUUCGUUCUUGACGAUGAGCGGGAGGAGCAGUCUUGGGACGAGCUCCGUGAGUGUGCCGAGGCAACGGUGGGGUCGCUCCGGUCAUCCUUGGAGGUCUUUUGCAGGGACGUUCCCAAGAUCCUCCAGGUAAUGAUUUCAGGCAUACCUUUCUCGUGAUCAAGGCGUCCUUUGUGACGCCCCGCUUCCUUUCCUCAGGAUCUGACGGAUCUGAGCGCCGCCAAGUCGUCGUUCAUCCGCCGCGAGGUCGAUGUCUGGGGUUCGCUGCGGUCCCUGAGGACCACGCUUGCCAGGGCUACUGCGCGCCUCUCCCAGCAGAGCGCCGAGGUGGCGGACCUUCGGUUGCUCUAUGCCGACCUGGGAGCAGAGGCAGCAGCGGCACGCGCAGAGGUGCAGCGACGGCAGUCGGAGCUUGACCAGGUCACCGACGAGCGGGACCAAUCUCGGGGGCGGGCCGCCGAGGCCGAAAGCCGGGCCGGAGCCCUUGCAGCAGACCUAGCCGUGGCCCAAGCCGCAUCCUCGGAGCAGCGUGCCCGAGCCGGAGGUAUGUCUUGGUUGUUUUAAGCUUUUGCUUCAGCUCGGUUCCUCAACUUGCGUUUGAGGUCUUACGCUUUGGCUGUUCGCAGAGCUCAAGUCUGCCCUUGAUAAGUCCACCAAGGCGCUUGCUCAGGCGGCCGAGCAGAGGGAGGCCGACCACGCGGCCAUGUCUGAUGCCAUCUCGGCUUUCUGUCGGGUCUUCGGCUUCGACGACGUCCCCUCGGGAAGCUCCCCUCAAAGUCGCCUGCAGGCCUUGGGUGACCACGCGCGUGGCAGACUCCGCGAGGCGCUACAUCACGACGUCAGGCGGGCCUUCGCCGUGCUUGCUUCCCACUAUGUCGUGGAUCUGGAGCGAGUCAGCGAGGGGUAUUGCCUCCCCGACGAAGAUGAAGUCGCCCUGGCCGAAGUCCAGAGGCUCGACGCGGCCGCCGCGGGCCCGAGCGCGGUGCUGGCAACCACCUUCGAGGCAGAGAUCCUCCCACUUGCGCCGUCGUCCGAGGCCGGGGCAGACCUUGCCGAGGGUGGGAACGAAGCCGAGGGCGCGGCUCCUUCUCCGGGCGACGCCUGACUCUGCCGGAGCAGUCUUCUUUGAAUGCACAUGUGUCUUUUGCGGCCACUGAGGCCCGAACACUUUAUUAUCGUAGUAUAAGGUUGUGUUCCUUUUCCUCCCGUUUUGCGUAUUUGGCCCCGUUCGUCAGUAGCAGGGUGGCUUGCCCAAGUAAGAGUCAUUUUUCGUGGUAGGUGACGAGUGAGGUAUCCGUAUCCCAGAGGCGUAGGAGUCCCUCGGCUCGGUCGGCCUUGCCACUUACAUGCGCCCUCAUUCGCUUCUUGGGGUCCUGCUACAGAUAUAGCCGGGGAACGCAGAAGCCUUUUUGAUGGAAGACUUUUUUCGAGGAAAAUUUUGACGCAGAGGGGGUUCCCCCCCUUUUAGCCCCCGAGGGAGGGUUGGGCUUUGCCGAGGCAAGGCUUACCCUUCCUUGAUGACUAGACUUUGUGUGUGAACGAGGUGUACGAACAACUUGAAAGCAUCUUAAGGGUAGAAGCGACGUAGUUGUCGGAUGUUCCAAGCGUUGUUGUAGACCUCGCCUUGACUGUUGGCCAGCUUGUACGUUCCGGGCUUCAGAACCUUGGCGGCGACGAACGGCCCUUCCCAGGGAGGCGUGAGCUUGUGCCGCCCUCGGGCGUCUUGUCACAGCCGAAGCACCAGGUCGCCCACCUGGAGGUCUCGGGAUCGAAACCCUCGGGCGUGGUAGCGUUGCAGGGACUGCUGGUACCGCGCCGAGUGUAGUAAGGCCAUGUCCCGAGCCUCUUCCAGCUGGUCCAGUAAGUCUUCUCGAUUAGCUCGAUUGCUUUGGUCGGCGUAAGCCCUCGUCCUCGGGGAACCGUAUUCUAAGUCUGUGGGCAAGAUGGCCUCGGCCCCAUAGACUAGAAAGAACGGUGUGAAGCCUGUGGCUCGGCUCGGCGUCGUCCUCAGACUCCAGACCACCGAGGGGAGUUCCUUCAUUCAUCGCUUGCCGAACUUGUUGAGGUCGUUGUAGAUCCGCGGCUUGAGUCCUUGUAGAAUCAUGCCGUUGGCACGCUCUACUUGCCCAUUCGUCAUGGGGUGAGCCACGGCGGCCCAGUCCACCCGGAUGUGGUGAUCCUCGCAGAAGUCCAGGAACUUUCUGCCGAUGAACUGGGUGCCAUUGUCGGUGAUGAUAGAGUUCGGGACCCCAAAGCGGUGGAUGAUGUUGGUGAAGAACGCCACCGCCUGUUCGGACCUGAUGCUGCUUAGGGGUCGGACCUCGAUCCACUUGGAGAAUUUGUCGAUGGCGACCAACAGGUGCGUGUAGCCCCCGGGUGCCUUCUGCAAGGGACCGACGAGGUCUAGACCCCACACAGCAAACGACCAGGUGAUGGGUAUCGUCUGUAGAGCCUGGGCGGGCAAGUGUGUCUGCCUCACGUAGAACUGACACCCUUCGCAGGUGCGGACAAUUCUAGUGGCGUCGGCCACCGCGGUCGGCCAGUAGAAACCUUGUCGGAAGGCGUUUCCAACAAGGGCUCGAGACGCUGCGUGAUGGCCGCAAGCCCCCGAGUGUAUUUCUUGUAAGAGCUCCUGGCCUUCGGCGAUUGUCGGCGUUUCGAGACCGGGGGGUCCCUGGGCCGACGAGUGAAAUGUCGCCACGUGCCCCAGCCCAGAUGGGUCGGCGCGAGGCCGAGCGCGAAGGGGGGAGGAAAGGCGGCCGGAGACGGGCGUGAGAGAGGUGGAAAUCCCGCGGCCUUCGUGUUCGUCCCGCGCCCAGGUCGGGUGCGCUUGCAGUAGGGGGUUACAAGCGUCCACGUGGGAGAGGGAGGGAGCGGCCUCACGCGAGCGACUGUCUCGUCCUCGUCCCCGCGUGGCCAACCCUCUGUAAGAGGGCCCUGGUCCUUCCUUUUAUAGGCGUAAGGAGAGGACCCAGGUGUACAAUGGAGGGUGUAGCAGAGUGCUACGUGUCUAGCGGAGGAGAGCUAGCGCCCUAAGUACAUGCCGUCGUGGCAGCCGGAGAGGUUUUGGCACCCGGUUCGUGUGGUGACGUGGCCGUCGGAGGAGCGCUGGAGCCUGGCGGAAGGACAGCUGUCGGGGCUGUCGAGUCCUUGCUGACGUCCUCUUGCUUCCGUAAGGGGGCUGAGAGCCGCCGUCGUUAGGGAGCGUGCGAGGCGCCAUCAUUGCCUAUCUGGCGGAGCGAGCCAGAUGGGACGCCGGUCUUGUUCCCCGUAGCCUGAGUCAGCUUGGGGUAGGGUAAUGAUGGCGCCUCCUGUCGACGUGGUCGGUCCGCGCCCUAGGUUGGGCGAUGUGGAGGCUCCUCCGAGGUCGAGGUCGAGUCUGUCUUCCGUGGCCGUGGUCGAGUCCGAGCCCCUGGGUCGGGCGAGGCGGAGACCGUCGGCUGAGGCCAGGGCUGAGUCCGAGCCCUGGGGUCGGGCGAAGCGGAGUUCGUCGUCUUCUGGGGCUGAGCCCAAAUCCGAGCCCUAGGUCGGGCGGAGCGGAGUUCGUCGUCUUCUGGGGCUGAGCCCAAGUCCGAGCACUGGGUCGGGCGAGGCGGAGUUCGUCGUCUUCCGGGGCAGAGCCCGAGUCCGAGCCCUGGGGUCGGGCGAGGCGGAGUUCGUCGUCUUCCGGGGCAGAGCCCGAGUCCGAGCCCUGGGGUCGGGCGAGGCGGAGUUCGUCGUCUUCCGGGGCUGAGCCCGAGUCCGAGCCAUGGGGUCGGGCGAGGCGGAGUUCGUCGUCUUCCGGAGCUGAGCCCGAGUCCGAGCCCUGGGGUCGGGCGAGGCGGAGCUUCCUAUGGCGCUCGAGGCCGGACUUGGCUGCUGUCAGCCUCACUCUGUCGAGUGGCACAACAGUCGGAGCGGCGCAGGCGGCGCUGUCCUCUUGUCAGGCCGGUCAGUGGAGCGGCAAAGUGACUGCGGUCACUUCGGCUCUGUCGACUGAAGGGCGCGCGUCAGGAUAAGGUGUCAGGCCACCUUUGCAUUAAAUGCUCCUGCGAUACGGUCGGUCGGCGUGGCGACUUGGCCAAGGUUGCUUCUUGGCAAAGACUGGGCCUCGAUCGAACCGAAGGUGUGUCCGUUGCUCGAGGGGGUCCUCGGGCGAGACGUAAAUCCUCCGGGGUCGGCUGCCCUUGCCCGAGGCUGGGCUCGGGCGAGGCGAGGUCGUGUCCCUUGAGUGGACCGAGCCUUGACUUAAUUGUACCCAUCAGACCUUUGCAGCUUUGUGCUGAUGAGGGUUACCAGCUGAGAUUAGGAGUCUUGAGGGUACCCCUAAUUAUGGUCCCCGACAAUAUGAAAGUGUGGAAUGAAGUGUGGUUUUAAUAAAUAUAUGGGCCUUUUCGUGCCUCUAUAUGGGCCUUUUCGUGCCUGCCUUAAACGGGCCGUGCUCGUGCCCGCCCAUGGGUCGUGACCUCGGCACAAACCCGGCCCGAUAUAACGGGUCGUGCCGGCCCGACACUAAAUUAUUUCGGGUCGUGCCGUGCUUGGGCCGUGCUUUUUUUCCGUGCUUCGGGCCGGCCCAUCAGGCCCGGCCCAAAUGUACACCUAUACCUGUACCCACAAGUCGUGUUACCCAUCUGCCAAGUGAUCGCGACUCCCAUACACCUCUACCAAGGAAGCGAGGCAGGGCAACAAUACGAGACCUUUACAAAGUUCCACUAGCUUCCAAAAACCCGCUAUAGUUUAUGGGAAGAGCACUUGCAAUCCCCCGUUUGACCGCCAUCGCAGCAAAAUCAACCCGAGAACCUCCUUGCAUGCAACUCCCCUACUGCCCUUGCCCCUUUCGGGUAAGAUAGUCUUCCACUAGCUUUCCUAAUUAGUCAGCCAAGGGCGUCCCAUUCCACCUUGUGGCGGCACGUGUUUCUCAAGUUAAGCUCCAUGUUCCAAUUAACAUUAAUGAUCUUGACAUGAACAUAAAUAGAAUAACAAAAUAAUUGGAAAAUGGAUAUAAUGAAAUAUUAUCCCAAAACCAUGUAAAGCAAUAGCAAAACUACCUAAGUGAUUCAGGGAUAACAAGGUAAAAUGGAUAAACAGACUAGGGUGACCUAUUGGGUCCCAUCAAAAUUAAACCUAUACAUGAAUAAUGACAUUAAAGAAUAUUAUUGGGUAUAAACGUGGUCAACGGCACAACUUGCCUCGGACUUGACAUUCUAGUUAACAGGGUGAUUCUUCAGAUCCUCAUGACCUCACUGCUAGUCGUAGCAAUACAAACAAACAUGGUAUAUACAAAAUUAACAUCACAACAAACAUAAGAAAAAACUGAAUAAUAAUGAUCUACGCGAAGCUACGAGAUCGUGAGAACGAGAACCACUAAAAUCGGAGUUACGGUUAAGGAGUUAUGAUUUUUAUAAAAGAUCUAUGUGAUUUAAAUAUUAAACCAUAUUAUAAUUUGGUUAGUAUAGAUAUAUGAAAGGUCAUUCUAUAAAUAAUUAUCUCAACUUAAAUCUAAGUUAGAAAUUGAUCAUAGAUCAUAUUUUAGUAGAUUAUAAUGCUAAGCACAUUAACAAGUCUAACCAACAUAAAUUAAAUAAAGAUCUAAAUAGAAAAGAAUGAGACAUGGUAUACUCAAUAUUGUUACUGCGUAGUAAAUACUUAUAUAAAACUAACGCAACUGGAAUGAAUCAAAUCGGAAUUCAAACGGAGGAGCUACGAAUUUCCUAGGUUUUAUGUACUUGAUAUAAGAUUAAUUAGGAAAUAAAUUUAAAGUGGAUUUCAUGUCAAAUCAGUAUCACUAUUUGAUAAACAAUAAUAUUAUAAAAUUAUAGGAAUUGGAAUGAAUUAACUUGAGCUAGAAUGGAUUUUCUAUGAAUUAACUAAAUUUCUGGAAUUAUUUUAACACUAAAAAUCAUUUUCUAAUUGACUUUCUGAAUUUCCUAUGAUUCUGGACCGCGCCGCAUAUUUUCUAAAAGAUCAGGGGUCAGAUUAAAACAAAAAGGACUCAGUUGUAAUGAUCUGUAUAUUAUUGAGGAUGACGGGUUGGUUUCCCCAAAACCCAGGGGCUUAUUUGCCAAAUUGCUCGGCUGAAGGGGUAUCCAAACGUUUGGGCCGUUGGAUCCAUGUCCGAUGGUUCGGAUUAGAUUGGGCGCUUUAUGAACCGGUACGUGUGAUUGACCGCACGAUCAUGAUCCAGUGGUCUAGAUCUUAUCAAUCCAAGUCUAAUCGCACACGUUCACAGCCAAUCCAAGGGACGUGGAUCACCAAGCCGAAUCGCUACAUCCCCUCUAAUCUCCAUCGUUCCCGUGCAAUCUGACGGCUAUCCACGCAUCUCACUCCGGCGAGAGUUGGCAGCCGCGCCGCCGGUCCCCUUGACGGCGACCUCACCGGAGACGUUCGAAUUAACGCCACAAAGCGCAAAAACUUAAUCAAGAACUGCUACGCGAUGACUAGAGGACGGUGAGUUGAGUGGAGGAUCAUACCGGGCUUUCGGGGCAAUGGACAGAUUGGUUCACGGCGAUAGAAGGCUUCUCGGCGGCGGAGAGCGUGGUUGAGGAACCCCACGGCCUCCCAGCUUUAGAUCCCGAGUGCCCAAACCCGCACGGACACGGUACGGCACGGUGAUUCCCCACGCAGUCUGCUGGCGCCCGGUGUCUGCAUGGACGGCGGAUGGUCGACGGCGGCCUGUUGUCCCGUAUGGUGAUGUCCGCCGGCGGCACAAAUUCGCGCGAUGUGGACAAGGGUGUAUGCGGUUAAGGGGGGGUGGAAUAACCAGGCGCAGGUCUUAUAACCGCGGCGCAGCUGGUGGUCCGGCUGCCGUCACCGAACUACGCGGAUUCGGCGGUUAAGGGCGGGCCCGCAUAACAGGGUCGCGGCGCGCAGAGGCUAGUGGGCCUCGCGGACGAGGGAGCGAGGUGGGCUAGAAGCGAAAAUGAGCCCAGGUGCACGUUUACACUUUUCUUUUUAUUUUUCUGUUUUCUUUUUAUUUUUGCUUCUCAAAUUUAAAUUCAGUUUCGGUUGUGAGAUUUAUACUUGAGUUAAAUGCCUACAUUCAAAUAUCAUUAGGGAUAGAAUAUUUUAUUCAUAUAUAUUUUCUUUAUAUUUAUUUAGCACUUCCCUUCUCCUUUUACACCAUUUGUUUUCUUUAUAUUUCCUAAGUGGUAAAUUUGGUCUUAAUUGCAAAUUUGUGCACUAACAUGUUUUCCAUUAAUAUUAUAUUUAUUAUUUAUAGAUGCAACAACACAUAAACUCCAACAUGGCGCACAUUUUAUUUGAAGAAUUAUUUACUUUAAAUAGGUUUCUUAAUAGUUCUCAUGAAUGAAGAUGCAUUACACGUAAAGGUUUAUUCCUCUUUUUCAUAUUCCAAAGUUGGAUAUUACAGUUGCGUUCCGUGUAAUAGUGGCUCCUUUGAAUGCAGUUUUGGCUGAUCAUGCUGGAAUACAAUUCCCAUCUGGGGCUAUGUUCGGUUAGCUCGUUCCCGGGCGGGAUCAAGAACAUAUCCUCGUGGAUCGCUUACGCCUGGAAAGAAUCCUGGCUCACAAGAAAAUAUGCGUUCGGUUAAGCCCCACCUGAACUGCACCUCGGUUGAUCCCGUUCAUUUCUCGUCGCCCUCGUCUGGGAAUGACGCCCGAUCCUUGGUGGGUGGAAAAUAUCCCGGGCGCAUGCGAAGGAACGGUGGGGCUUGCUAAAAAACGUUUCUGGUUACAUCUACUCCCGAAGGGAGUAUUUAGGGACUGUUUGGUUCACUUUUUUCUGACCAGUUUUUUUUUUAGAAUCUAGCUGUGAAGAGAGUCAGAGGUAGAUCUAGGGGGUUUGUCGGGGUCAACCGACCCCGAUAAAAUUUAUAAAUCCUUUAGCAAAACACCAUUAAAGUUCAAAACAAUUAUAUUAUAUAGGAAAACUAACUCUGAUUACCGCGACAAUAUUCUAGGCUAGAUUCUCCACUGGGGCGAUUUUUGCGGUGGAGAGAAUCUAAGUAUCGUUGUGAUUACGUGCGGAGGAAGACAAAGGUAUCUAUAGGGUUCAGGAUCUAGAAAGUGACGGAUUCUUACUAUUGCAAUGACUCAACCGAUUAUACGUUUAUGUUAAUUUUAGAUGUUUUUUACCAAAUCAAUUUUUAUAGAAGCUGACUGAAAAGUUGAUCGUUUGACAGUCUAUGUUUGACAGUCUAUAGUAGAUUUUGUUGGCAAGAAGAAAAAAAAGCUGGUGGCCAAAAAAAAAACUAAAACAAACAGGGCCUUAGAUGAUUGAGUGGUGCAACUGAACGUUUGUUAUAUAAAUUUAGUAAUAGUGCUACCGAGUUGCAUCCAUAUAUUUUGGAAAAAGUCUACAUAACCUCCUGAACUAUGGAUGGUGUCCACUUCACCUCCUCACCUAUAAAACCACUAGGUAUUCUAUUCUUAAGGGCUAGUUUGACAACACCAAUUUUUUAAGAGAUUCUCAUUUUCCCAAGAAAAAAAUGAACUAAUUCUUUGGAAAAAUGAAAAUCCCUUGAAAAAAGUUGCCAAAUUAGCCCUAAACUAUUAAAAUUAGUCCAAAUAACCUUCCGAAGCGGUUUCACUGAUAUGUCAUUUUGAAAAGUCUACAUAACUCUCUAAUAUAUCAAGGAUCUAUAUUGUUAGCAGAAUCGGUAGACAAAACAAAGUAGAUCAACCAACAAAAUACAGAGCACGACACAGAUUUACGUGGAAACCCUUCAAUGCAAAAGGAAAAACAUAGGCACCAACCAAGCGAAACCUUCACUAUAAUAUGGAAUGUUUACAGAACGUAGUCUUGCAAGAGGAGUAAAACUAAUGACGCAGUAGAAACCCUAAUUAGGGUCAACAAUAUAUUUUUGAGCUCAGGUCAAACCCCAUCUAUAACCAUAUUCAUUUGAUUAUGCUAAUCAGUUUUUAAGGCCUGCUACCAACCUGUUCUACACUAUUGUCACAACUAUGAAAAUGUGGCAUAAACACCCAAAUUCAAUGCAGUACAAGGCCACCGUCGACAGUGAGGGUGCUACCUUUACAAUAUAUCACUGGUAUGAAUUCCAUGAACUUAGAUUUGGAUACCAAAAUUAAUUCUCGGAAAAAUGAACUUGAUUCAUUCAGCGACAAGGGAUUGAUCAUUCUUGGUGAUAAACUCGGCAGAAUUCUGCUCAGCCCAUACAGCUGCGUCAGGUACCCCGUACGUACAACAGUCAGCAAUAGACCAUGGAAUUAAAGUACGUACAAGUUGAAAAAACUGAGUCACCUGUCUUGGGCUAGCCCUGUUCUCUGGAUUGGCUGGUUGGAAAAGCCCAUAUUCAGACCUACAAUUGUAGGCAGAUAAGUAAUGAGCAUUGAGCGCUACACAACAACCAGAUAGUAUGGUACAAUAUGUUGUGUUUCUAAUAUGAUUUGGCCAGGCAUAUGCAUCAAGAUUAAGCAUCAGAAUUGCAGAAACCAAAAGGUGCAUACUGUUUCUGCAGCAGAAGUGGGCGGCAUAAACAAUGUAGGGCCCCCAUAAAUGCAGAGCCUAUUAUGGACGCAGGUAGCUGGCCUGGGUGCUAAGUACCUGAAACGAGAAGAAAAUGGUUAUUUAACUCUUGUAAUCAAAAGAAAACUACAUAUAUAAAUGGAUAGGAAAGAACAUGGAUGCUGAUCUUUAACCAGGAAUAAAGGAGGAUGUAGACUUUUUCCUAUAUUCUACAGUUUGAUCAGCAGAAGAAAACUUUUUCGCAACUGAACGAUUGCCAGAUAUUCUCAAACUUGACUCUUGAAACUAUGCCAAUCAUUUUAGUUUGUCACAUUUAAUCUUGAAGUUUUUUUUUUGCCACAUUUAGUCUAUAAAACCGCAAGAUGAAACUAUGCACUGACAAUAAUACUUUCAUCCAUCAGUCUCCGAACUUGUAAAGUUGCUGCGACAUUAUUGAAAACCGUAAGAUGAAACACUCAACUGAAGCUAGCUUUAGAGCAUAGUUUUUAAGGCGUCCGUAAGGCGACACUUAAGUGUCGCCUAAGCGGUAAGGCAAGGGUGGCUCGUCUUGCCUAAGAGCUCACUUUAGCCCUCCUAGGCGGUAAGGCGAUGGUGGCUUGCCUCAUCUUGCCUUACCGCCUUAAAAACUAUGCUUUAGAGUUAACAGUGCACUGUUCAUAGAAGAAAAUACCUAAACCAGCCAUCGGAGUCACCUCAUAGUUCGAAAUUACAGCAUGGGUUGGUCAUAUUUAUGGCCCCUAGGUACAAAAUUCAACUCAGCAUAUGGGCAAGGGUCCAGAUCAAUUUGGACUGGUUCUAAGACCAGACUAGAGGACCAUAACAGAAAAUUUGAUAUGUCAUCUUAAUGUGUGAAACUACGAACAGUUCAAAAUACACCAUGUUCAUAAAACAUCAUGUCGAUACUAAGUGAACAACCCGAGAUGCACUAUAUCAUCUUAGGAGUACUAUGCAAACAAUGCCAAGAGAGAACUGGGGGGGGGGGGGGGGGGGGGCAUCAGCAACGAAUUGGCUUCAGACCUAGUUCGGUGCCGACUCUGUAGAAGAUGAGGGCGGCGAGUGGUGACGGGGUGACCUUGAGCUCGAGGUGCCUGUUUACAACAUGAAAUGUUUCCUAAAUAAAAUAUUGGAAGCCUAUGUCCUUCCGACGGAUGCGUGAAAUCUUUGGCCAGCUUUCUCCAUCAGGUUCUUGGCAGUUCUUCUUCAAGACAGGGCACUCCCAUAUAGUUAUGCGCUCGAGGGAGGACGGCAGAUCUGGUAAAGAUGCUAUGUUGGGGCAAAACCCUAUCUCGAGACUCUCCAGACUUGAUAGAGAUUUUAGAUUUCUUGGCAGGGACUCGGUUUCACAUAACGAAAAAUUCAGGCACUUGACAGAUGAGAGAUUUGCAGGCUCUUCAAAUAAAAUCGACGGCUCCUUGCAAUAUAAGAAUUCAAGAUUUGGUGGGACCAUAAACCCUUCAGCCAUGAGCAUCUGGUUGAGCAAUACGGAGCUACUAACGGUGAGCGAUUCCAUGACACGAAACUGUGAGAAGCACUUGGCAGUAAGGUUUGCAACAUCUCCUAACUUUAGGCGCUUAAGGUGCAGGGAAGACAAGCCUUCAACAAAGUAAAGAUCAGGGAGACCAAUUAGUUGUAAUGAUUCAAGGGAGGUCAGGUGGCCAAUCGAUAAGGAUGGG
rnacentral:lncRNA from 1 species